rnacentral:lncRNA from 1 species
GUGGCGUUGCGUAGAUCGCGAUUGAGCCGGCAUGCGUGGUCGGCCGCCUGCGAAGGGAUGGUCGGGCACCAGCCAGCGAUGGGCAGGCAUGCCGUCACCGCCGAUGACGACGAACACGGCGGACAAACUUCACCUGAUGCCUGUGGCCUGCGGUAGAUGCAUAGGUGGAAACAGAGAAGGGGAAAAAAGAACGUGAGAUAGAAGCAAGCUAAAUCUAGGAGCUUGAGCUUAGUCCCCCACUCACCUGCUUGUCAAAGCUCGCCGCACGCAUACCAUAGGCUUCUAGAGAUCGGCCCGAUCGGCGGUUGCUGAGGUCGCACCACAUUCCUCCCUUCAUAGAUCGGGGAUGAAUCGGGGCCACUACACCAGAUUCAGAGGCAGAGGAACACACCUUGUUGGAUUACGCGCACAUGCCGACGUAGGAUGUCCGUCGGCUCCAACAACUAAUAUCGCGCAGCUUCCCUUGAUCCUGCUUGGCUGCCGUAUCCUUCAAUGCUAUGGAGCUCUGCGGCUUCCCGAAUCCAGCGAUGGUGGCAAGCAGGGAGAAGAGAGAGAAAGAGGAGAGGAGAAUGAGAAGGGGGCUAGGAUUAGGGGCUUCAGGCCCAUGUGGAGAGGGCUGUCUGCAAAAAUAAAACAAAGGUGCGAGGACGGACCGGACGGGCGUGUGUGCUUGCGGGCAGUUUCCAAACGAGUGGCCAACGAAGACAUGUGUACGUCGAGCGCAGGAGAGGCCACCGAGGCUUCAAACGCUGUGGUGCCUCCAAUCUGGAGUGACUUUUAAUAUCUCCCGAUGAAGGAAGCAUCAGUCAUGUCCAGAGAGUAAUAUUGCAUAAGUGGGUAUUUAAUCAAAUACAACAAGAUAUAAAAGUUAAAUUGAUCAUAAUGAAAGUUAUAGGUCUUUAUAAAACUUUUUAGUUGAUAACGUUUCGAUUUGAAAUCAUCUUGUCAAGCAAGGAAAACUACGUUUCAAUUUCUAAAAAUUUGAAAUUUGACAACAUUUUUAAUUUGAAAUAAAAGUUAUGUUCAUCUGAUUUCUAAAAUAAAAGUUGUAGAUCUCGAAAUAUUAUAAAACUUUGUAGUUGACAACUUUUUUAUUUAAAUUCGUUUAGGGUCCUAAAUACUUAUUUAAAAAUUAGAUGAAUAUAAAAUGGCUAGCACGACUAUCCUACCUAGUCACAAACUGGUGUGUAGGUGGAGUGGUGAGGGAACCGUGUGCUUGUCCAGGGGGCCCUUUCUUGAUACUAAAAAAUAUUCGAUUUUUUGUUGCAUUUUUUGAGCUUUAUUUUUAGAAACCACAUCACUGCUAGUUCAACAUUAGUACCAGUUCAUCAAAACCGGUAGUGAUGUCAACUCUAUAACACUGCCAGUAUGGAUCUGCUGGUUCAAAAUCCCACAAUGAAAGCUGAUUUUGAACCAGCAGUAUUAUAGUGAUCUAUGGUAGUGGUUUAUUGGAGACAACAUAUUCUUUUGCCUUUAUGCCAUCAGCGAUGACGGGGAAGUUUCGUUGCACUGUUGUGAUGUGACGGAGGCUAGCUGAUGAGCUGGCAAAAUAUUUUUAUAAUGCCUUAUUGCUCAAUAAAUUAAUAGGGACAGAGUUAGUGCCAGGUUAGGUGAUGAACCACUCUCUAGUUAUCUUGGAUGAUAGAAUACUGUAGAAAGUUCUUUGUGCUUUCAGUUCUUUAUUAGUAUAACUAAUUAUUCCAUCAUCAAUGCGGACCCUAGGUCGGCAAUUAAUCGAGAAUUACAGAGAACAUGAAUAAAUAGGUUAUAUCGAAAAUAUUGGAAAAAAUCAAAUAAAAUUUAUAUUGAAUUGAAAUAUAUUCAAAAAAGUUUAAACAAAAUGAUUGAGAAAAGGAUUGAUUUUUUUAUAAGCAUGUAUGGAUAAACAGGAUAUAUAUAUCUGAAAUAUUGUCAGAGAUCGGCAGAUAAAAGAUAAUAUUCCAUGCGAUGGAUGAUUAUUGAGUACCAGCAGAUAUGAAUCUGACGAGGAGAUGUUAGGUGAGUAAGUUUAAAUAAUGGAGACUUGAGACUUGAGACUUGCUGCAGCAGUCAUUUGUUUAUGCGGGUCUCCAUUUGCUGCAGCAGGCUCUCGGCUCAACCCAUACUCCCAACUGCUCACUAUUGCCCCCCUCUAGCCUACAGGCUCCUCCAGGAAACCUUGUUUUUUUGAAUAAUCUCCAGGAAACCUUGUGAGUUGGAGAUCUUUUAAUUGGCUUAACUUCUUUCGUGCUUGUUGGGUAUGCAUAGAACGACCGAUGUUUACUUUUCAGUUCGACCGGAUUUGUUUCUUUCUUGCCUUUUCCAUUUCAAUUCGUUGCAUUUUCUUCUGCUGCAGCUUCUCUUUUUCUUCUUCAAUCAGUGGAUAAAAGCUGUUUCUGCAAUCUAAUCUGCGCGUCUCUUUUCUGAUCUCUAGAUCCUCAUUCACAUGCGCUUCGGGAAUAUCAGUUGUGACCUUGCGAGCCAUGGAGUUUGCAACAGGGGCGCUGGGCACCCUGCUUCCAAAGCUGGGACAGCUGCUCCAAGAUGAGUACAACCUUCAGAAGGGAGUGAAGAAAGACAUCCAGUUCGUCACGAAAGAGCUGGAGAGUAUGCAUGCCGCCCUCCGUGAUGUUGGAGAGGUGCCACAGGAGCAACUUAAAGAAGUAAUCAAGAUCUGGGCUCGGGAUGUUCGGGAGCUCUCCUACGACAUGGAGGACAUAGUUGACACCUUCCUGGUGCGUGUCCAGGGCUCCGAGCCUCCCAGCAAAAGGAGUGUGAAAAGGUUAUCAAGAAGAUGACAAGUAUUGUGAGCAACGUCAAGAGUCGCCAUGAGAUUGGCCAAGAGGUCAAGGACAUCAAGGAUCGUGUCAAGGACGUGGCCGAGCGACGGGACAGGUCAGUGCCGAGGUGUUACUGACUUGCGUUUGAAUUUCAAUAAAAUUUUCUCUGAUUUACCACAUUGUUCUGUUUUUUUUCAUCUCUACACAGGUACAAGGUUCAUGCAAUUACUCCUACCAAAACCUCAGUUGACCCUCGCAUAGCAGCUCUGUACACUAAAGCGUCUAGCCUUGUGGGCAUUGAUGAGCCAAAGGAAGAGCUGAUCUCAAUGUUGACAAAGGAAGAUGGUGCACUACGGCAGACAGCGCCUUUGCCUAGCGUAUGGUUAUUUGCCGAGCGCUAUAAAUCGGGCGCUCGGCAAAGGCCACCUUUGCCUAGCGCAGGACCCUCGGCAAAGACAGCGCUCGGCAAAGAUUUCUUUGCCGAGGGUAGUGCCCUCGGCAAACGGAGACGCUCGGCAAAGAACGUCUUUGCCAAGCACCAGACGCUCGGCAAAGGCCCGCUCUUGGCAAAGGACAUCUUUCCCAAGCGCCAAGCGCUCGGCAACGGCUUGCACUCGGCAAAGAGAUAACACAUGUAACAUGGGGUACCUGCCGUCACCCUUUGCCGAGCGCCCUCCGUUAGGCGCUUGGCAAAGACAUCUCUUUGCCUAGCGCUGACGUUUGGCGCUCGGCAAAGGCAUCUCUUUGCCUAGCGCUGAAUUUUUGCGCUCGGCAAAGGCUCUCUUUGCCUAGCGCUGACUUUUGGCGCUCGGCAAAGAAUUUUUUUUUUAUUUACUUUUUGCUUCCAAACUUUUUUGUUUUGCAUUACACAUUAUUUAAUAGUAUAUGUUAAGGUUUUGGUAGUUUUUAAAAUCUUUUUAUUAUAUAUCUUUAGUUAAUUUGGUUUAAUUGAAUUUCUACGAUAAACGCGGGUUUGAACUGCAGGUGUAUCGAAUCUCCGAAUUCGACGGUUCAAAAAUUGAUAUUCGCUUUACAUAGCGUAUGUUAAGGCCAUAUCCAGGAGCACGCAUGAAAUAUCGAACAUCUCGCGCACGGAACACGGCGACCAAGUUGCGCGUGAAGUGCUAUUAAAUUAUAUAAAAUGCAAAUGAAGUCGAAAAAUUACAUAACUUAGCGACACGUCUUUGGAACACAUGUGGAUGCUAUGGUAAAAAUUUGGUAAAGUUUCGUGCAUGUUGUCACGGAAGUUAGUUAGAAACCUAGUGAUAACUAGGUCAGUGCCGAGGUGUUACUGACUUGCGUUUGAAUUUCAAUAAAAUUUUCUCUGAUUUACCACAUUGUUCUGCUUUUUUUCAUCUCUACACAGGUACAAGGUUCAUGCAAUUACUCCUACCAAAACCUCAGUUGACCCUCGCAUAGCAGCUCUGUACACUAAAGCGUCUAGCCUUGUGGGCAUUGAUGAGCCAAAGGAAGAGCUGAUCUCAAUGUUGACAAAGGAAGAUGGUGGCAGGUCAUCGGCUGAACAAUGGAUAGUCUCUAUCGUUGGCUUUGGAGGACUAGGCAAGACAACGCUUGCUAAAGCAGUUUAUGAUAAGAUUAAACCACAAUUCGAUUGCACGGCUUUUAUAUCGGUGUCUCGUGAUCCUGAUAUUAUAAAAAUUUUCAAGGACAUGCUUUAUGAGCUUGAUAACAAAGAGUAUUGGGACAUUCACAACAUUGCAUUGGGUCAACAUUAUCUUACUGACCUUGUCCAUGAAUUUCUCAAAAAUAAGAGGUACGUAGUGUCUUGUCUUGUAGUCCCAAAUAAUCACGGCAUGAGUCCAUUGGAUGAAGUCCUCUGAAAAUCAUUACGCAUAUGCAUAGUACUGUAAACAGUAAAAUUAUAGGUUUAUCAUUCGUUGUGUAUCUUCUUUCCAUUGUAAAAUUGACCAAUCCAUUUUUUACUUUGAAGAAAAUUAUUACACAACUGUUUUUUCUGUUAAGAAAAUUAUUACUUUAAAGCUUUUGUAAGGUCUUGUGGUUAGCAUUUGGAGGUCUUUAGUUCCAACCUUGAGCUCUGAGUCAAUGAGCUGGAGGCUGGAGCACAUUAGUUUUACACAAUCGAAGGCAUUGACCGCUAAAAAAUGGUUGGUUUUUCUUUUUCUUUUUUAGAUAACAAAUUGAUACAGCCGAAUGCUUUGGCUAUGGGAAAGUUAUAUAUUUUUUUGAAAAAAAGUUGAUACGGCCGAAGGCUUGGUUCACCUUCGGUAUGUUACACACAAAUAGCAAGAGCGUGCAUGUUUGACAUGUAUGUGAGCAGAGGAUGACACUAAUGAAUGCACGUUAGUUUUUUCGUAUUGAACUUAGUUAUUGAGAUAGUGGUGAAAAGGAUUCGACAACUCCCGAAGGCUCCAAGUUGUAACGUAGGAGCGACAACUCUGAAUGUCCACCGACACUCGGCUAGAGAACGUAUACUGAUGAAGACCUAGCCGAAGAAGGUCUGUCAACGAAGACAUGGCUAGAGAGGUCUUUAAUGAUGCUCCAACUUCUGGCUGUUCUGAAAAAUUUGGUGCCGAGCAUGGUGGGCACCAAUAUUGGGAAAGCAGUUCCCGAACAUGUUUAGAAGACUAGAAAGAGGUUGCUAGGGUUUUCAACCAGAGUCAGAAGGGAGAGCCCCCUUGCCCUCUUGCUCUAGGCACUAUGUAUAGGUAAGCUUUAAUUUACAAGCGACCCCUUGAUGGGGCUUGGUUUUACAUGCCACUUCAAUCACUACUACAGAAUAACUUAACCGCGACCUUUUUGAAACCCACUCGGAGGCGAGCACAAUUUGCAACCGCCUUAAUUAAUGCCUCGGAUUAACCAAGACGGUCAUUUUUUAUUAACUGAGGCAGUUAAUCCUAAAAUCCAUUAACUGAGGCAGGCAAUAUAAUAUAACUGUCUCGGUUAAUGCCUAUUAAUCAAGGCGGGCAUUAUAGCGCAACCUCCUCGGUAAAUCAUUAAUCGAGGCAGUUAUAUUACAUUGCCCGCCUCCUAAAAUCUAGCCCAGCGAACUACAAUUUCUCAGCCACAUACCAGAGACGAGACCCGAUAUGAGCGAGCAGUAUAUAAACAAAAGUUAUGGUUUCUAGCUAACUAAUCCCCUCACUCCCACCCUCCCCAGACGCCUCACUCCCAACCGAGAGCGGUUGCUCUCCUGGCCGCACGCAGGUCACCCCAGCCUCUCCUAGCGGCGGAAGGUGGCUGCCCAUCCUGGGAGUACGGAGCAGCAACAACAAGUAGUCGAUCGGCAGGACAACAUCAUAGGGGCACGCGCCUGUUCCCACUCUGGCCGCGGCACACGAGGGCACGGCCCCCGCUUUCAGUGGCAUCAUGCGGGGCGUGGCCCUCCCCACUCCAGCGGCAGCCGUCACGGGGGGUACGACCCUCCCCACUCCGGCAGUAGCUCAUGGGGGCGCGCCCCCUCCUUUGGUGGCAUUGCGGGGGGCGUGGCCCUCCCCACUCUGGCGGCGGCGUGGAGCAGGUGGUGCGGCCUCUCCUCUGCCGUCAUCCCGAGGCCCUCCUUUGGCUCCUCACCAGCCCCACAGCCCCAGCCGCCCGACCCUCUCCCGGUGGCGCGGUGCCUGACCCUCUCUAGCAGCGGUGUCGCACGGGAACCAACGUGAGGCUAUGAGGACGGCGGCAUCGAGGGCUGUGUGUCUGGAGUAGGGCGGGGACAAUGGUGGAUUGGGCUUGGCGGGCACAUCGAUGGGCUUUUUAUUUUUUCUAAUUUAUUUAUCGAGGGGGGCGAGCAAGCGCCUCUGUUAAUGAUUGAUUAACGGUGACUUUCUAUUGGAGGCGUUUAUCUUGCCCGCCUCGGAAAAUCCUUUUUGCCCACCUUAGAAAAAGAAUUCUCUAGUAGUGAAUGGCACUAGCUAGGCCUCUUCUAGGGCACUUGGCCCAUAUGAAUAUGGCAUGUCCCAAUAUCCCGUUUAACCAAAGUGUCUGACCAGUAUUGGUCGCUAUGUUUACAUGUACUUUUGGUUUUCAUUGCCAGGAAACAAUCUCUCAAUAUUACUGCACACAUGUGUGGUGUUUGUCAGUACAAAAAUAUUAGAUUUGUGACAUAGGGAUAUACUAGUCGGUGAGUAAUUAAGAAAGUGUGCAUAUAUCAUGUUGUUCCAUUGAAGAAACAACCAAUCUCUUUUUGUAUUUUGCUAUUACAAUUUUUAUUCCAAAUGAUUACACAAUUGUAGUUAUAUUCCCGCACUCCGAGUACAUAGACCUAAUCUCACUAGUACAGGGAAGGGCUUUAGCCCCGGGCCGUAAGCACCUUUAGUCCCAGCUACGGAACCGGGGCUAAGGUUUCGGGACUAAAUGUCCCACCUUUAGUCCCGGUUCCGUGGACCGGGACUAAAGUCCACCUUUAGUCCCGGUUGGUAACAGCAAACAGGACUAAAAGGUGCGCCAGGGUGUGCCACCUGGCCUCCACUUUUAGUCCCGGUUGUUGCUACCAACCGGGACUAAAGACUUUUUUCUUUUUUCUUUUUUCUUUUUCUUUUCAUUUAGUUUUCCAUUUAGGGUUUACAAUUAUGUUAUUGUUAUUUUCGAAUGCGUAUUGUUUGCUGGUAGUUUAUGGAAUGCGCACCUAUAAUUUAUAUAAUUUAAAGGAUUACAUAUAAAUAUACUAUAAAACACUAUAUAUAUAAAUAAUAUGUAUCUAUAGGUACAUAAUAAAAUAUUUACACAUAUGCUUCACGGACAAAGUAUUUAUAACACAAUUUAUCUCCACCACUCAAGCAUCGUACAAAUGAUCAUCGUUAUUUGGUUUCAUCUGCUCCUGAGGGUUGAAGUAGCACUCGCCGUCGGAAUCCAGGACUUGGUCGUUAAGAAAUCCUACGAUUGUCUCCUGAAUUCCUUUUAGGCGCACCGCAUCCAACACCUGCUCCUUCAGCCACAUCUCCUUUAAUAGACAUUAAAGAAAAAAGUUAGAGGUAUGAAUAGGAUUUAUUAAAUAGCAACAAAUAAAUGAAAUAUUCUUAUUAUAUAUACAUGUUACAUACUUUUAGGUGCUCAAGAUUAGUUCUUUUGGCAUACACCGUCGUAAACUCGCACACAUAGUAGCCACACAAAUUGUUGUCCGGUGUCUGCCGUAGAACCCACUGAAGUAAGAUGGGCUUUGAAAGUGCUGCAUUCAACUCUGGUAAAUUCUCUAUUUCUAAUUUUUCUAAACAAGCUAAAUUAAAAAAGCACAAAAAUUCUCUAUUUUUCUAAAUAAUCAUGAAAUGUGGUAUGUAUACUAGUUAUAAUUAACUAACUAAAUCGGUCAAAAAUUACAAAUUAAAGUAUUAUAUGUUUUUAUUUUUUUUAAACUAAUUAAAAUAAAAAAACAUAUUACCACUAUUUCUCUAAAAAAACGCGUCGCUUUUGAAAUGACGAUGAAGCUAAUAACCUCUUUAAAAACCAUAAAAUAAAAAACAAUAUACAUAACACUAGGAAAUGACAUACGCCGCUUCUAAAUGUUGAGAAAAUGAAGCUAGUGACCUCUUAACAAGUCGAUGACGGUGUAGAAACGAUGAAAUGAAUCAAUAGCCGGAGAUGAGAGCAAGAACAAGCAACUCCAAAUGAAGAACACAGCAAAAGAGUGAAGAUCGAUGGGCUCGGCCACGGGAAGAAGAGUUCAAAUAUGGGGAGGGACAUUGAGUCCCGGUUCCUUUUAAAAACAGGGUCUAAAUUCCAACACUAGUCCCGGCCGGUGGGACGGACCGGGACAAAAGCUUUUACUCCCGGUUGGUGGUACCAACCGGGACUAAAGGCUAGGCUUUGGUCCCGGUUGGUGAGACCAACCGGGACUAAAAGUCCCCUCUGCCGAUGUCUGACAUAAUAGCCGUUGGGCAGUUGGUCUCACCAACCGGGACUAAAAUAUGUUUUUGUCCCGCACUCUGUUUUGGCCGAGAUUAUUGUUCAUUUUGGGCAAGUGACCAAAGGCCUGUUCUGAGUCCAAACAGGAUAACUUUUAGUGUUUAGGGUAGAAAUUAGAAAGCAGUAAGAAUGAAAUUGUUUCAACUUUACGCCAAGCAUGUUCUUACUUACCUUGCAGUAUUACCAUCAUAUGCUUAUAUAUACUGCAUAUCAUCUCUAUAUAUGCUUAUUAUGACUCUAUUGCCCUCCCCACUCUGGCGGUGACGCGCGGGGGCACGGACCCCUCCUCCAGCGGCGGCGUGGAGCAGGUGGUGCGGCCUCUCCUCUGGCGUCAUCCUGAGGCCCUCCUUUUGCUCCUCACCAACCCCACAGCCCCAGCCGCCCGACCCUCUCCCGGUGGCGCGGUGCCUGACCCUCUCUAGCAGCGGUGUCGCACGGGAACCAAUGUGAGGCUAUGAGGACAGCGGCAUCGAGGGCUGUGUGUCUGGAGUAGGGCGGGGACAAUGGUGGAUUGGGCUUGGCGGGCACAUCGAUGGGCUUGGCGGGCACAUCGAUGGGCUUCUUAUUUUUUCUAAUUUAUUUACCGAGGGGGGCAAGCAAGUGCCUCCGUUAAUGCUUGAUUAACGGUGACUUUCUAUUGGAGGCGUUUAUCUUGCCUGCCUCGGAAAAUCCUUUUUGCCCACCUUAGAAAAAGAAUUCUGUAGUAGUGAAUGGCACUAGUUAGGCCUCUUCUAGGGCACUUGGCCCAUAUGAAUAUGGCAUGUCCCAAUAUCCCGUUUAACCAAAGUGUCUGACCAGUAUUGGUCGCUAUGUUUACAUGUACUUUUGGUUUUCAUUGCCAGGAAACAAUCUCUCAAUAUUACUGCACACAUGUGUGGUGUUUGUCAGUACAAAAAUAUUAGAUUUGUGACAUAGGGAUAUACUAGUUGGUGAGUAAUUAAGAAAGUGUGCAUAUAUCAUGUUGUUCCAUUGAAGAAACAACCAAUCUCUUUUUGUAUUUUGCUAUUACAAUUUUUAUUCCGAAUGAUUACACAAUUGUAGUUAUAUUCCCACACUCCGAGUACAUAUACCUAAUCUGAGUCCAAACAGGAUAACUUUUAUUGUUUAGAGUAGAAAUUAGAAAGCAGUAAGAAUGAAAUUGUUUCAACUUUACGCCAAGCAUGUUCUUACUUACCUUGCAGUAUUACCAUCAUAUGCUUAUAUAUACUGCAUAUCAUCUCUAUAUAUGCUUAUCAUGACUCUAUUGCCGCAAACAUAUAGGUACCUCAUUGUUAUCGAUGAUAUAUGGGAUACAAAACCAUGGGAGAUGAUACGAUGUGCUCUACCAGAGAACGGCCAGAAAAGUAGAGUACUCACAACUACCCGCAUAAUUGAUGUUGCUGAGCAUGUUGGUGGUUGCUAUAGGAUGAAACAUCUUACUGACAAGAGCUCUAAAAUCAUAUUCUAUGGUCGAAUAUUUGGCUCUAUAGGCAAUUGUCCUCAACAAUUUUCUGAUAUAUCUGAAAAAGUUUUGAAGAAAUGUGGAGGUGUUCCAUUAGCUAUUGUUACCAUAUCAAGCUUGCUGGCUAAUAAGACAAGAAGUAUUAAUGAGUGGUCCAAUGUGUGUGAUGCAAUUGGUGCCGGAGUAGGAAACAAUCCCGGUAUGGACAACAUGAGGAAGAUAUUGCUGCUUAGCUAUUAUGAUCUAACUCCUCAACUGAAGACAUGCUUACUGUAUCUAAGUAUAUUUCCUGAAGAUUAUGAGUUUCGAAAAACUACAUUGAUUUUGAGGUGGAUAGCUGAAGGAUUUGUCCAACUAGAAGAUGGGAGGCAAAGCUUAUUUGAGGUUGGACAGAGUUACUACCAUGAGCUUCUAAACAGAUGCCUCAUCCAGCCAGGAGACAGUGAGGGGGAUGACUUGUCUCCUCUUAGAUGCCGGGUGCAUGAUAUGGUGCUUGAUCUCAUUUGUUCCUUGUCAAGAGAUGAAAGUUUUGCUACCACUGUAUAUGGUGACUGCAGGCAAAUCACAUCUUCAGAAAACAAGGUUCGCAGGCUCUCUAUCCAUAAUGCUAGCUGGCCUACAAUGAACAUGUCAAAAUUAAGAUCCCUUACUAUAAGCAAUUCUGCUAUAAUUAAUUCAAUGCCACCCUUUUUGUGCUAUCAUCUUUUGCGUGUAUUGGAUUUUGAAAAGUGCAAUCUUAAAGACCAUACAAGUCUAGAGUUUCUUUGUAAAUUAUUUCACCUGAGGUUUCUAAGUCUAGUAGAUACUGGAUACGCUGGUGAGGUCCCAAGGGAGAUAGGGAAUCUACAGUUUUUGCAGACUUUUUACUUCUCUGGAACUUACAUAAAACAAGUCCCAUUGAGUAUCUUGGGGAUGAGACAACUAAUGUGCCUUGCCGUUGGGAUGAAUACAAGGCUGCCAACAAGUGGAUUGAGAAAUCUAUCGUCUCUGGAGCUGCUUCGGAUGAAUGUGGAUUCUGCAUACAUUGCAGAAGAGCUGGGCCAUCUGACGCAACUGAGGGUGCUAAUGGUUGUUCUCAGGAAGGACAAGGAAGGCAGAUGGGAUGAAAGGAUAUGCAGAGUUCUGGUGGGGUCCCUUAGCAAACUGCACAAAAUCCAAACUCUACAAGUAGAAAUCUCAGAUGACGUGGAAGUUCAUCUUGAAGGCUCAGUGGACUCCCCGUGGAAUCUAUCUCAUCUUGUUAUUUUUGGAACCAGUCGGCUGCCGACAUGGAUUGAUCACACAUCAUUUCAACUCCUAUCCCAGCUAUGCAUAAAGGUGGGUCAAGUUGGAAGGGAGGACAUCCAUGUCCUCGGCCGGCUGAAGGCUCUUCGUGUUCUCCACCUGGGAAUGGUUGGCGCCAAACAAGUGUUUGAAAGGUUCAUGAUUAGCGCUGAUGCCUUCCCAUGUGUGACACGGUGUGUAUUCUCGGGGUUUUCGACGGUGCCAUCUAUGUUCCCACCUGGAGCUAUGCCGAGCCUUCAACGGUUUUGUUUUGAUAUAAGACUAGAGGAUUUCGGUGAUGAUAGUGGAUUUACAGUUGACGACCUGGCCUUAUGCCACCUCCCGUCACUACAGAGGGUUUGGGUUUGCCUAGAUGGAGAGAGAGCCAGAGACAUCAAAGAUGUGGCAAUGAAAGCCCUGACGAAAGAGGCACACGCCCACCCGAACCACCCUGAUAUUGAUGUCGGAAUCAAUGGGCAGUGGAGCCAGCUGUGCAGGUACAUAAGUACUCCUCUCUACCCGGUUCAGUAACUUUUCAAUAACACCUAUGCUUGCCAUGAAUACAGUGACAUCGAUGGCCCUAUGUAUCUCCAACAUACCACCAUGACAAAUUACAUGCAUGUUUUCCAUAAUGCUAGCUUGUUACAGUUUUAUGUCUAUAAUAAUAAUCCUUUACUUUUGCCAUGCAUGUAGUUAUAUAUACAUGUUAAUCAUCAUUCACUAGCGCAACGGGUCAUUUGACUGUGUAGCUGUGAGCUCUGUUGCUUUUCACAGCUAGAAUAAUCUGUUCCCGUAUUCUGAAUCAAAUUGGCUGACCCCCGUAGGAAUUGUGACCUUUCUAUUACUAAUUGAUGCAAGUUCCUUGGUGUGUACAUGCACCAGGUAAUGGAAGGAUGUACGCACUAGUUCUAUGGAUUUUCAGCGGAGGACCUCCACCACUACCUACAACAUGUUCCCCCCUUCGAAGAUAUUCACCAAUAUAUGUCCCACUCCCACCUGUUGCGCACGGUCUCCACCUCUCGUAUGUCGCCAUUGCAGUUUAUUCAUCUACAGCAUUGCCACUGCGUGUGAUCUAGCUUAACUCUGAGAUCACCGUCGAUUCUCCCCGCACUCAAAUAAUUGUGUUAACGUUCUUGUGUAUUUGAUCAUGCUUGCUGGAUCUCUGUAGAUCCACGUCCACCUGGCUUGCUCAAGGUUUCAAUUUACUUGUGCUCUUUAGACCUUCCCUCCCUCGAUUCUAAAUAAAUUAUAAAAUAUUUUGGCUUUUCUAUAUACUUAUGUACUUAUAUAUAUACUAUGUCUAUUUGCUCAUGCUGGGAUUGGCUUGCUGUAAUAUUGUGGAACAUUAAUGGAGGCACACUCAUAUGCUUCCUAUUAUCGUAGUUUGGAAUAUACUCUCUCCGUUCAAAACUUAAAAAAUGUUUUGGUCUUCUACAUGCAUUGCGGUUUAUAUGUUUUCAUGAUACAAAGAUUUUUUUUUCAUUUUAAGUUAGAACGGCACCGUUAGUUUGGACCGUCAAAUAACACUUUUCUUCCCCGAGUAUGGCUCUUCCCCGAGUGUUGCACUCGGGGAAGAGGGUCUUUCCCGAGUGUCGCUCUUCUCCGAGAGCCUGGUAGGCUACGGCACUUGGGAAAGCCUCUCUUCCCCGAGUGCAACACUCGGGGAAGAUUGGCUUCCCCGAGUGUCCGAUUUUUGGCACUCGGGGAAGCCUGUGACACUCGGGAAAUUUCGGUUCUCCCGUAGUGCUGGUUCCAUCCGACGGUGUUCGACGGUGAAGCUGCAGGUCUCGUGUGUCACCCAAUCGCCGGUGAUACGUGCAUGGAUCUCUAAUGCAGCAGUUGCUCCCGCCGGUCGAGCAAAAACGACAGGUCCCCCAUCUCGACGACCAUGUAUGGGUGAUCGGCCGGCCAACGGCGCUGGCAAAUCUUGCUGCGGGAUAGGCGGCCACGAAAGUGACCUGAAUCCUUGGCUUACGUACGGGAUGGUUUUCUUCCACCGUGACCAAACUCGCCGGUGUGGAAGCUAUCAUGCAACACAUCUAUUUUUAUGCACUCCAGUGUCCAGUCCAUCAAUACCAUGGCCUUGUUUAGUUCCCUAAAAAUUUUGCAAAAUUUUUCAGAUUCUCCGUCACAUCGAAUCUUUAGACGUAUGCAUGUAGUAUUAAAUAUAGAUGAAAAUAAAAACUAAUUGCACAGUUUGGUCGGAAUUGACGAAGCGAAUCUUUUGAUCCUAGUUAGUCCAUAAUUGGACAAUAUUUGUCAAAUACAAAUGAAAGUACUACUAUUCAUAUUUUGCAAAAAAUUUUGGAAGUAAACAAGGUCAUUUCAUAGAAUUUGAUUAUUGCUUCAGUCUACAAGUCUACAUCUAUUUUUUCUCAAUGUCGUUCUGUAAUUCUGCUCUAAUGGAUUAUAUAUUGUACAUCAUCAUAUAUAGUUGCUAUGAGUUCUGAUUUUUCCCUCCUAAUCUCAAGUAUUUUAAUCCAUGACAAAUUUCUUUUUCCCGUAUCAGUUGCACUUAUCCAGUAAUCUGCAAAUUAAAAUUUUUGCUUUCUUCUUGCCAACAUUACCAGAAAUCAACACGAAAAUUAGGAUAUAUACCUAAUUGUUGUUACAAACGAUCCUAAUUAUCGUAAUUACUUUAUGGUAAAUUAGUCUCGGUUACAGUAAUAUGUUUUCAUGGUGCGCCAAGCAGCCAAAUUUGAAUACAAACUCAACUACGACAAUCCUUAUUUGGAGUUAUUUAUUACUAUAAUCUGAAUACACACUCUUGCUAGGAAACGUUUACUAUUUUGUACUCCCUCCGUCCCUGAAAGAAUAGAUUUCUAGAUUAAAAAUUUGUUCCCAAAUAAAUCAAUUUCUAGGAUAUAUGGUCCCCACUGCUCGCCUCGUAUUCAUCGUGGCUUCCAAGACGCACACGCCUCGUCUCUCUCUCUCCUUCAUUUAGUGGUGGACAGUUGGUUGGAUGAGUAAAUGAUGUGAACAGCUCGUAGCCCAAAGCAGUGAUUCCUGUGCAUCUUAAUGGUAAAAUUCAUAUUAAUUAAGGAUAACUUAGUCAUUUCACAGCUAUGCUAAUCUGUCUGAAACUUGCUAGAAAUCUAUUUUUUCAGGGACGGAGGGAGUAAAUCUCUUCUUGUUGCAUGAAUCUGUUAACUCCUCGAAUAUUUACCACAGUUCACCAUAUGUAUAUUGGCAAAAGUUUCAAUAUACAUGUGCGCUCUCGUAAUCCUUGCAUGCGCAUGUACACUUCCGUGUUCUCGUCACACACAUUGACGUAUAUGAUCCUUGUUAGCUUUGCAUGCAUGCAUACGGCAUGAGCAAAUCAACAUGAGCAAAUCAAGGAGAAUCAAUUACGGUUGGCCACGUUAAUUAUAACUUUCCAAAAAUUACCGUAGCUACCUGCAUGCUGCAGCUCGGCUUCGUCACAUGGUCCACUCAGCUGCAUGCAAUGCAAUGGAAGUUGGCUGAAAUUAAGGCGAGCCAGUAAGAGCAAGUAUUAUAGUAGGCUGUAAGCCAGCUAAAUGCUGAGGUGGAGGAAAGAGAAAAGGAGAGAGAGUAAAAGCGGGCUGUAAGCUUACAGCCGGCUCACUGUGAGACAGAUAUAUGGGCCAUGUAUUAAUAAUGAUGAGUUAACCAUUAUAUAAGUGGGCUGCAAGAAGACUGUAAAGAAAUCUUACAGCCAGCAGCUGGCUGUAUAAUACUUGCUCUAACGCAGUAGUAGCCACGCAAUAAACUACCCAAUACAUUUUAAUAUUCUAGUAAAUAAUUGUGCAAAAAAUAUAGUAAAUAUAUUAUCGUAAUUACACCUAGAACGAAAAAGCAUAACUUCUAGUAAAUAAUUACAAAUUAUUUAAAAAUCUAGUAAAGAUUACUGUAAAAAUUAAAUCUAGUAAUCAUUACCGUAACUAGCUAGUCAGGGUAGAUCGAAAGACAUAACAAUUUGCAAGUCCAGUAAAUAUAUUAUCGUAACUAAUAAAAAGAGGCAGUAUAGAUUCUAGAAAACAAUUCAGCGCCUAAUUACCUCAUGACUAUAUAUUUACAUACGGCUAAAUUAUGUGCGCCAGUAAAUACCGCAUGCAUGCACCACACUCGGGUAAUUACUACACAACCUGGAUAAUAAUGUGAUUGGCUUGUGCACACGCACCAACGGUUCGGUGUUAGGACCUGGCUACAGAAUAACAUACAUAUUCUGUAUCUAGCUACAAAGUAUUCUCUCUCUCUCUCUCUCUCUCUCUCUCUCUCUCUCUAUAUAUAUAUAUAUAUAUAUAUAUAUAUAUAGUCUGGUUUUAAGUAUGUACUUAUACUGUCUUAAUGUAGCGUAUUCGUGUGUACUUCAUUCGGAAAUGUACUGCGUUCCAAAAUAUAUAUACAAGUACUGCAUUCUAAGAAGUAUGUACAUAUACUUCAUUCCAAAAUGUCUAUACAGAUACUCAUACACGAGCAAGCUCAAUUCAGAUAGGAAAUCACGGUAAGCUAGAAUCUUGGCGACCGUAUAAUGUAUAUAUUAUUUAAUUGAUUAAGUUUGUUAAAUGUAUGCUGCAUGGCUACUUGAAUUCUUACAGUAUCCACUACCCGUUAUGGCUAGUGGUGUUAACACAGCUAAAGAAAAAAUAUGGACAAGAAAAUUCGACAUGACCGCACACAAAAUCGAUUGCUCUAGCUUUUUUUAAAUAUAUAAUAAAGACACCUUUUCUAUUUUGAAGGAUGCUUAUAGCUGGAGGCGGAGCAUUGGAGGGCCAAGGUAGUGCAAUCCAGAUUCUCUGACUUUCACAGGUCACGCCGUUCAUUUGCGAUCCAACGAUGACUGCGCAUCUCAGCUUUCCCACUCCUAGCCUCCUCAGCCCAAACAUAGAAAGCAGUCUAAGGCCUUGUUUAGAUCCAAUUUUUUUUGGAUUUUGACACUGUAGCACUUUUGUUUUUAUUUGACAAACAUUGUCCAGUUAUGGAGUAACUAAGCUUAAAAGAUUCGUAUCGUGAUUUACAGGUAAACUGUGCAAUUAGUUAUCUUUUUAUCUAUAUUUAAUGUUCCAUGCAAGUGCCGCAAGAUUCGAUGUGAUGGGGAAUCUUGUAAAGUUUUAGGUUUUUGGGUGUAUCUAAACAAGGCCUAAGUAAGACCCAUGUUGUGGCUGAGGUAACCUAUUUUGCCGCUCAGUGACUGUUUUAGACGCCAAAAAUCACCGAGCGAAGGUUUUUGCCGCGUCUGCAUUGCCGCCGCCUCCACCAGAGGUCGCGCUCGCCUUUGCCCUUGCGUCUGCUCCGCUCGUCACGCUAGCCGGAAUCAUCAUGUUGUGGAGCGACAUCCUCGUGAAGCUACCAUGUGAGGGUGCCGCGAUUGGCGAAGUGGUGAUUGACGCGCUUGCUGUGAUGUUGCGAACUGGUUGAUGAUCGGCUUCUCUUUUUGGUCUUCCUUCCUGUGAUACUAAUGGCAGAACCCAACAAAUAAGUAAUGCUUGCAUUCGAUUUUUCCCUCUUUGUUUGCUUCAAGACGUGUAGCAAUGAGCCAAUGACCAUGUAGCAAUCAGCCACGAAAUGGGCCUUAAUUGGGCUGCUUUUCAUGUUUGGGCUGGAGUAGGAAAGCUGAGAUAUGAAGCCACCGUUGGAUCGUAUUGAGAUGUGUGUUUGCACACUUCUCAAUGCGAAUUCAGUGGUAGAGAGAGUGGGAGCACAUGCUCUUGAGGGCAAAAAUAAGUUUACCGAAAGUCACCUAUGACUUUUUCUGGAGGAAGUUAUUAGAGAAUCUAGAUUGAAGGUAGUGGCCGGCAGGAUAGGUUGGGUCGUGGGCCUGGGCAGCUGAUUCGAUUCGACUCUUCCACUAAAAUUUAUCGAUGCUGCAGCUUUCUUUAAUUAGUGCGGUCCAGCAAGGCGAAGCAUUGCAUUCUGUACAAAGUGUGAAUCGUCAGACUUCAUGCUCGCUCAGCUUCCCAUUGUUUGGCGCACGCUGGCCAUUCCGGGCAUCGUCACUGUCGCCCAUGGUCUCCUCGAUGGGCUCUAAACCUCGGUGAGUGAAGCGUGUUCAAUUGGAAAGUUUAAUUAAAGAGACUAUAAUAUGAAUUACAGGUUUUUCAUUGAGUCUGGAGUUAAAGCACUGAUUUCAUUUGUUUAUGCGGCUCUUCCCAGAUGCGUCUCGCUCAACCCCAUUCGAGCAAACUCCUGCACCACUCUUCAAUCCCCACUGCUCAUCUCAGCUAUAGGCUCCAUGAAACCGUGGUGAGUUGCACAUCUUCCAUUUUGAUUUAAUUUGUUGCUUUUUCUUCUGCUGCUGCUUCUCUUUUCGUGGUGGAUUAAUGCUGCUUCUGCAUUCUAAUCUGCACGAAAGCUCUUUUCUGAUCUCUAGAUCUUCAUUCAAAUUAAAUGUGCUUUCAGGGAUAUCAGUAGUCAGUAGUGACCUUGGGGGCCAUGGAGUUUGCGACUGGGGCACUGGGCACCCUGCUUCCCAAGCUAGGACAGCUGCUCCAAGAUGAGUACAACCUUCAGAAGGGAGUGAAGAAAGACAUCCAGUUCGUCAGGAAAGAGCUGGAGAGUAUGCAUGCCGCCCUCCGCGAUGUCGGAGAGGUGCCACAGGAGCAGCUCAAAGAAGUAAUUAGGAUCUGGGCUCGGGAUGUUCGGGAGCUCUCCUACGACAUGGAGGACAUAGUUGACACCUUCCUGGUGCGUGUCCAGGGCUCCGAGCCUCCCAGCAAAAGGAGUGUGAAAAGGUUCGUCAAGAAGAUGACAAGUAUUGUGAGCAACGCCAAGACUCGCCAUGACAUUGGCCAAGAGAUCAAGGACAUCAAGGAGCGUGUCAAAGACGUGGCCGAGCGACGUGACAGGUUAGUGCCGGGACAUCAUAGACUUUUGCGUUUGAAUUUCAGCAAAAUUUUCUCUUAUUUGCCUCUUUGUUCUGGUUUUUUAAUCUCUCUACACAGGUACAAGGUUGAUGCUAUUACUCCUACCAAAACCUCAGUCGACCCUCGCAUAACAGCUCUGUACACUAAAGCGGCUAGCCUUGUGGGCAUUGAUAAGCCAAGGGAAGAGCUGAUCUCGAUGUUGACAAAGGAAGAUGGUGGCGAGUCGUCUGUUGAAGAAAGGAUAGUCUCUAUUGUUGGCUUCGGAGGACUAGGCAAGACAACGCUUGCUAGAGCAGUUUAUGACAAGAUUAAACAGCAAUACAAUUGCACGGCUUUUGUGUCGGUGUCUCGUGAUCCUGAUAUUAUAAAAAUUUUGAAGGACUUGCUUUAUGAGCUUGAUAGAAAUGAGUACAUGGGCAUUCACAACACAGCAUUGGGUCAACAUCAUCUUACUGACCUUGUCCAAGAAUUUCUCAAAAAUAAGAGGUACGUGCUGUCUUGUGUGCUAGUCCAAAUAUAAUCACCGCAUAAAUCCAUUGGAUGGAAACCUCUGAAGAUUAUUACACACAUACGUGGUACUGUCAACAGUAAGAUUGUAGGUUCAUGUUUAGUUACAGUCGUCAAUGAGAAAUUGUGGCGGUGGCUUUACAUGUGUAUCUUCUUUCCAUUCUAAAAUUGCCCAAUCAGUUUAUACUUUCAAACCAAAUGAAUACACAACUGUGGGCAAACGAGCAUUCUUGCCACCAUUUGUCCUCAUUGUACUCUACCUACUAGCAACAAUGUUUUUUUUAUGAUAGAAGGUUUUGCUAAAUUUAAAAUCACUGUAUCAGGUCAACGAAAGAUCUCAAAAACUCCAUCAAUCUUUCUAUAACAUGAUUAUUGCACAUAUAUAUGGUGUCUGUCAACAGAAAAAUGUUGGAUUUAUGACAUACAGUUAUAUAUAUCAAUGCCUAAUUGUGUUGUGUGUGCAUCUAUGACGUUGUUCCAUGGUGGAAAUAAACAAUUGCUUUUGUAUUUUUAUGUUACAUUUUUAUACCAAAAGAUUACACAACAUAUUCCACUAAAGAAUGCCAACAUACAGGUAAAACUGCUUCCAUAUAUCAUAGUUCAUACCUACCUAAUCUGAGUGCAAACUUGAUAACUUUAACUAUUUAGGAGAGAUUAAAAAACACAUAAAAAUAGUAAGAAUGGACUUGUUCCUACUUAUUACCUUGCAAGUUAUUACCAACAUAUGCUUAUAACGUAAAUCAUCUCUAUCUAUAUUCUUAUCAUGACUCUAUUGCUGCAUACAUACAGGUACCUCAUUGUUAUUGAUGAUAUAUGGGAUACAAAACCAUGGGAGAUGAUACGGUGCGCGCUACCUGAGAAUGGCAAGAAAAGCGGAGUACUCACAACUACCCGCAUAACUGAUGUUGCUGAGCAUGUUGGUGGUUGCUAUAGGAUGAAACUUCUUACUCAAGAGAGCUCUAAAAUCUUAUUCUAUGGACGAAUAUUUGGGUCUAUAGACAAGUGUCCUCCACAAUUUUCUGAUGUAUCUGAAAAUCUUUUGAAGAAAUGUGGAGGUGUCCCAUUAGCCAUCGUAACCACAUCUAGCUUGCUGGCUAAUAAGUCAAGAAAUGUAAAUGAGUGGCAGGAUGUGUGUGACUCAAUUGGUUCUGGACUAAGAAACAAUCCUGGUAUGGAUAGUAUGAGGAAGAUAUUGCUGCUUAGCUAUUAUGAUCUGACUCCACAAUUGAAGACAUGCUUACUAUAUCUAAGUAUAUUUCCUGAAGAUUAUCAGAUCAAUAAGCAGCGGUUGAUAGAGAGAUGGAUAGCCGAAGGAUUCGUCCAACAAGGAGAUGGGAGGCAAAGCUUGCAUGAGAUUGGACAGAGUUACUUCAAUGAACUUCUAAAUAGAAGCCUGAUCCAGCCAGCAGACAUGGAUGACGAUGAGAUGAAUCCUUUUUCUUGCCAGGUUCAUGAUAUGGUGCUAGAUCUCAUUUGCUCCUUGUCAAGAGAUGAAUGUUUUGCUGCCACAUUAAAUGGUGACUGCAAGGAAAUCACAUCUUCUUUGGGAAGCAAGGCUCGGAGGCUCUCUAUCUAUAAUACCACUUGGCCUACUAUUAACAUGUCAACAUUGAGGUCGCUCACUAUCUGCAGUUAUGCUUUAAUUAACAGUAUGCCACCCCUUUCAAGCUUUUAUCUUCUGCGUGUAUUGGAUCUUGAAGAUUGUAAUCUUAGUGAUCAUUCAAGUAUAGAGUUUGUUGGUAAAUUACUUCACAUGAGGUAUCUAAGUCUAGCAGGCACUGGAUAUGCUGGCGACAUCCCAAGAGAGAUAGGGAAGCUACUGUUUUUGCAGUCAUUUAGGUUCGAUGGAACUGACAUAAAAGUAGUGCCAUUGAGUUUCUUCGGUCUGAGACAAUUAAUGAGCCUUCGUGUUGGGGACAGUACAAGGCUGCCAACAACAAGUGGGUUGAGAAAUCUAUCGUCUCUGGAGCUGUUACAGAUUAAUGUGGAUUCUACAUACAUUGCAGAACAGCUAGGCUAUCUGACACAACUGAGGGCAUUGAUGGUUAUGCUCAUAAAGGACAAGGAAGGCAGAUGGGAUGAAAGCAUGUGCAGAGUUCUGGUGCGGUGUUGAUCUUGAUGGUUCAGUGGACUCCCUGUGCAGCCUAUCCAAUCUUGGUAUUUAUGGAACCAGUCGGUUGCCGACAUGGAUCGAUCCCACAUCAUUUCUCCUCCUAUCCUACCUGGACAUAAAGGUGGGUCAGAUUAGAUGUGAGGACAUCCAAGUCUUUGGCAUGCUGCAGGCUCUUCUUGUUCUGGAAGUGAAAGUGGAUGGCGCCAAACAAAUGUUUGAGAGGUUCAUGGUUACCGUGGAUGCCUUCCCAUGUGUGACACGGUGCAAAUUCUCUGGGUUUUCAACAGUGCCAUCUAUGUUCCCACCUGGAGCUAUGCCCAGGCUUCAACGUUUUAAAUUCUAUAUCCGACCAGAGGAUUUCGGUGGUCAUAGUGAAAUUACUGUUGAUGACCUGGCCCUAAGCCACCUGCCAUCCCUUCAGAACGUUCGGGUUCGCCUUGAUGGAGAGGAGACAUUGAGUGAAGAGUUAGCAUUGAAAGUAAAAGAGACACUGAGGAACGAGGCACGUGCCCACCCCAACCAUCCUAAUAUUGAUAUCCGAAUUGAUGAGAAGUGGAUCCAGCUGUGCAUGUAUGUAUUCUUCCUUUUUCUACUUUUUUAACCACCUCUUACUGUAGCCUGUCUAAUAAUCUUCUGCAUGAUCCCAUGAGUACUAUGACAUCGAUGGAUGCCACUGAGUUUCACCCCACACUUAGCAUGGCAAAUAUGCUUAUUUACCUACUAUUUUAUUCCAGUUUUAUGUGCCGCUAAUAAGAAUCCUUUACAUUUGUUACGCUUCUAGUUAUCAUUUUUAUUCAUUUGUUACCAGAGCAAUUGGCGAUUGGACAAUCUAGUUGUGACCUAUGUUCCUUCUUUGCAUAGUUAGACAGUCUGCUGCGUAUUCGAAAAUCAAUGUGACUGUCCUCAUAAAAUUUCUGAGUUAUUCGUAUAUACUAUAUGAUGCUAAUUGCUUGUUGUGUACAUGUACCAGGUCUACUCUACGAUCAUCGCCUUUAACAUAGAUUCACCAACUCCACUUUUCACGGUGCAGCUUUACUCUACGAUCGACAUCAAUGGCCAAUAAUUGGCCAUAACUACACUCACAUUGUUCUUGUGUACUCAAUCAUGCUUGACGAACAUAUCUGUAGAUCCACUUGGCUUGCUCAAGGUUUCAGUUUACUAUGUUCGUUAGACUUUCAGUAACAGUAGAUCAUGCCGAGCUGACGGCUUUAUAUAAUAUUAUCCUAUCAUGUACGUACAAUUAAGUUUGUGCCAUACACUUGCUUCAAAUCUUCUCAAAUUUUAACCAUAGCUUCCACAUGCGAUAACACGACGCAUCACCAAGUUUCGCGAUGUUCGGACUUCGUAUGGAUUUUAUAUAAUUUUAAUCCACUUUUUGCGCACGUAACUCGACAUGUUAUCUCAGCGAGAUGGUCGAGAUUUCAUGUGAGGUCUUGGAUACGGACUAAAAAUACACUUAAUACCAUGAGUAUCAUUUUUUGAAGCACGGGGUUGCGAUAGUUUAUGUACUUGUAGUUCACAUUUGAUUUAUCCAAAAACAUACCAAGAAACAAAAUAAAUCUGUUAAAUAUACCAAAAAAACUCAAAUUUCCUCCAAACUUUAAAAUAUAGUUUGCAAUAGUGACACAAAGCACCAAAAAAACUCAGCACAAAAAACAAAAAAAAAAUAAAAAUACUUUGCCGAGAGUCAGCUAAGACAUUCGGCAAAGAUUGCUUUGCCGAGGGCCUGGCCAGCUGGCACUUGGCAAAGAGCCUUCCUUUGCCGAGAGCCAAACGGAAGGCUCUCGGCAAAGGAGACGCUGGCCGCCGGCGGUUGGUGGACAGGGACUUUGCCGAGAGCGCGCCUUUGCCGAGCACACUGCUCUCGGCAAAGAGGAGCCUCUUUGCCGACCGCCUGCUUUCGGCUCUCGGCAAAGAGCCCUUUGCCGAGCGUCUGACGUGGCGCUCGGCAAAGGAAGGUAUUUGCCGAGUGUCUACUCGACAGCUCUCGGCAAAGAUAUCGGCUCUCGGCAAAGUAGGAUUUUCCUAUAGUGUAAUGAUACUCUGUUAGUACCAUAAUAAUUAUUAUUUUAUAAUAUAAAUUUGGUCAAACUUAGAAAAGUUUGACUCUCCAAGAUAAUAAUUAUUACUCUAUAAUUAUUAUUUUGUAAUGACUUACAAUUUGGAAUGAAGAGAGUACAAAAGAAACAACAAUGCGAUAGCAGCGCAACAACACAAACCCCAUGAAGCCACCAAAUCAGCGGCGAACAAACAACCUUUCAUGAGGCAACCAACAAGGGAAUAGUUUGGGGUGCGCGCGUACCUGUGUCAUUGAUGAUCGAGGCCCCAAGGUUUUUCAACCGAACCUAGGAAGUAGGAGGCCUCCAACGAGAAGCGUGGCGCCAAACCCUCACCACUGCCCACGACACCAUGUAGCCGGACAGGGCUUUCAAUUCACCACCGAAGUCCUACUCCAAAACUAUAGUUUUCCAAACGGGCCGCCCGGCACGGCACGGGCACGGGCACGACAUGGCACGGCACGGCUAGGCACGGGCACAGCAGGCACGGCGGCAUGCCGUGCCGUGCCUGAUAGUGCCAACGUGCCGUGGUGAUGGCCCAGGCACGGCACUAUCAAGCACAAACCGUGCCGUGCCGUGCCAACAGGCCCGAUGGCACUGCAGUGCCCGUGCCAGCCCAGGCACGGCCACAUGUUUCACAAAAAUACUUCAUCAGACUCAGAAUUAAGUCAACAAGCAGAUUAUGAUAUCUAAAUUGCCAGAAAAGAACCAGAGAAAGAAAACCAAAGUCCAAAGGAAACACAAGCAGAAUUAAGUUCAAUGUUCUUACAUUGUCCAAGUUCUCAUAUUACAAACCCAAGUUCAAGCAAAAAUAAAGAUUAAACAUGAAGUCCAGGAGCACUAAUCAAGAUAGAGUUCUUCAAAUUCUUCUUCAAGCUCCUUGUCCUCAACACUGUGUUGCAACCUUGCCUCCGCCAACUCCCAGUCCUUGAUGCAGGUGAGCCACUCCACUGUCUCCGGCUUCAGCCUCCUCCGCCGCUCCUCGAUGAUCCUGCCAGUCAUACUAAACGUAGAUUCCGAAGAUAUUGUAGACACAGGAACAGUUAAAACAUCUUUAGCCAUGAUGGAUAACACUGGAUAUGUUAGUUUGUGCUCAUGCCACCAUCUCAAGAUGUCAAAUGAAUCAUCCAACUGGCUAACAGUGUCACAGUCUAAGUAUGAGACAAGUUCAUAAGCAUUAGAAGCUGUAGAAGUAGCAGCAUGCAGCAAAGCAGUAGCAGAUGUAUCUCUAGAUAAAUUAAGAGUAGAAUGCACGAGUGAAGUACCCCCACCAGAAGAACUACAAUCAUCAUCAUAUAUUUCAUCCCAGGCAGAUCUUUUCUUACCAGACAGGUUUUGAGGGACAGUCCUCCUCAACCUAACAGCUCCAUAUUUCUCCUCAUACUUAUUGUAAACAUCAGUAAGCCUUGCUCUAGUGCCAACUUGAUAAGCAUUGUAAUCUGUACUGGUAAGGUCCAUCAAUUUUCUCAACACUUUUGAAAAACCCUUCAUUUUAGCUCUAGGAUCUAAGAUGAAUGCAAAAGAAUACAUCAAAGGUAUAUCCCUCCAAUAUUUAUUAUAUUUAUCUACCAUAGGUUGAACCACAUUUCUCAGAUGAAUGUCAUUAGCAUAAUUUUUCAGGUGUAUAGAUAUCUUAACUAGAUAAUGAAGCAUAAGUGGAGAAGUAGGAUAGUAAACACCAGACAAGGCAACAGUAGCAUCAUAGAAGAGUUCAAGAAACCUAAGUACUUUUUCAGCAACAGCCCAAUGUUCUUCAGUUAGCAGCAACUCACCUUCCUCACCUCUAGGAUAGUUGGCAUGUAUAAAAGUAGUGAAAGGAUCCUUGUGAGGAAACAAAGUCUUAAGCAUGAGAUAUGUAGAGUUCCACCUUACAUCCAUGUCCAGCUGAAACUUUCUAGGCCUAUAACUAGCUGCAAUGCAGUAGUUCUUUUAUGCUGCAAUUCUCUGGUUAGAUGAGUUUAGAAAUGAUAUUGCAGUUCUAAAAACUUCAAGCAAAGGUUUAAGAUAAUCAAGUGCCUCCUUAACAAUCAAGUUUAUUAUAUGGCAUGCACAACGCUGAUGCAAGAACAUAGUACUAACAGCAGAUUCAGGAUGUCUUGGAUCCUCUGAAGGGACAUCAAGACCAAGAUAUCUAGACAAAAUAGGUCUAAGCAUACGCAUGGCAGAAACAUUAGACGAAGCAUUGUCCAAAGUAACAGCAAACACCUUUUCAAGCACACCAUAUUCACCAAGAACAGAUGCAACUCUAUCAGCAAUGUUUUGUCCAUUAUGGGAACAAUCAAUAAGCACAAGACCAAGAAUCCUCUUCUCUAAUUGCCAAUCAGGGUUUAUGUAAUGAGCAACAACACUAAGGUAAUCCUCUUUAGCUUUGCCAGACCAUAUAUCAGAGGUAAGGCACACACAAUUAACAGAAUCAGCAGACAAAACCUCAACAAGCUUACUCUUUCUAUCAGAAAACAUUUUGGUUAAGUCUCUUGUGGUGGUUUGUGUAGAGACAGCUUGGAACUUAGGAUUAUGAGCAUUAUUAAUAUAUUCCUGAAAAGCAGGACAUUCACCAAAGCUGAUAGGAACAUCUACCCUAGCAAGCAACCUACAAAGUUCAGUACGAGCACGCAUAGGACAAUACUCCCAAUUACGCAUAGAACCAUCAGGAUUAAAAGAAAUCUGAGACUGACUAAACCCCCUAGUUUUCUCUCGCCUCUUAGCACAUUUAUCCCUAUGACGACGUAGGUGGCCAGUGCCAAUGGAAGAUCUACCAGAGUACUCUUUUUUGCAAUGGAUGCAGACAACACCAUACCUGAUCUUCUUACCUUUAGGACCCAUCUUGAAUAGCUUCUUAAAAUCUUGCCAGACAUCAGAGGUAGAGGGGCGUGAUACCUGGUCCUCGUCGUCGUCGGCGUUCUCACGGUCUUCAUCACCGUCAAGGUCGAUGGGGUCAUUUGCGCCAUCUCCACCAGCUACAACUCCACGGCCGAAGAGCUCUUCUAACUCUUCUUCACCCAUGUCGUCGUCGUCACCAGGGAGGUCGCGAACCCUCUCCAUCUCUUCGGCCAUGGCAGUGGCACUAGCCUCCACCGUGUCCUCAGAGACGGAGGGAGGCCGGGCCGGCAUCGUCACUUGCCCUGGCCUCAAUCGACUCAAGAUGAAAGAAAAAAACAGAGCAUAUCAGAGCUAGGCUUAGGGUUACACUAGAACAAGUCAAGAACAGCAGUUAAGAACUCAAAAUGAAAGGUAAAAAAAAUCAAAAACAGAGCAUAUCAGAGCUAGGGUUACGGUUAGACUAGAACAAGUCAAGAACAACAGUUAAGAACUCAAGAUGAAAGAAAAAAAAAUAAAAAACAGAGCAUAUCAGAGCUAGGGUUAGGGUUAGACUACGGAUCUAGGGUUUGUCUUUCUUACCUAGACGUCACCGGCGAUGAAGACGGCGGAGCCAGAGCUCCUAGGAGUAGCGGAUCCGCGGAUCUACAGAAGAGGUAGUGACUCAGUGCGACUUAGUUAGAGAAAGAAGAAGAAGAGCAGAAGGGGAUGGCGAAUAUACCUGCUUCGUCGGAGCUCCAGAGCUGUGCUUGCCGGAGGACGAGAAGAUGAGGCGGGGUCCGCGGCCGCGGAGACGACGGCGACUCGCCGUCGCCCUUUGGAGUUGUCUUUGCCCUUCGCCACCGUCGGUCGUCGGCGAAGAGGGCGAGAGCCAAGAGACCGAGAGUGGGAGACCAGGAGCCGGAGAGACCGAGAGCCGAGAGAGAGACCGAGAGGCGAGAGGAUGAAAUGAAUUAGGGUUCAGUGAACCGUUCCGUGCCCGGGCUGGCUGGCUUAUAUACCCCGCGAGUCGCGGAUGCCCUGGAUCGGACGGCCACAAUCCAUCGAGGGGAAUCGAACGGCUGCCAGAUGCCGUGCCGAUAGCGGGCCAGGCCACUUUACCGUGCCGUGCCCGGGCUGGCCCAUGGGCCGAAUUGGCAGCCCAGGCACGGGCACGGGGGUGGGCCGUGCCAGGCACGGGCACGCAGGCUACCGGGCCGUGCCGUUCUUGGGCCGUGCUUUCUCGGGCCGUGCCUGUGCCGGCCCAGCGGGCCUGGCCCACUUGGAAAACUAUAUCCAAAACUCAUACACCAAAGAAGCUACUGGUUCAAAAGUUGCACACCAAAAGAAUUAGUCAGCAUCCGUGGACACAUAUGAAACGUUGAGAGCAUCUUCGGAGAUUAUAGACGGCUUACGGCUAAGUUAAGUGGAGUACUGGAGUUGCUAUACAUACUUGCUAGAUUGAUUUCUUUAAGCCCGACCUAGGGUGAGGAGCUGAAACAUCAAAUUUCGAUGGUUAAUUUUCUAAUCCUAAAAGUUUUCUUUGGUGAAGUGAGUAUUCGACCAUAAUCAGUAUUAUAAAAAAUCUAUGACAAAGGCAGACAAAUCACUGCAACAUACUAUAUAUACUGUUAGAAAAAGCUUACCCUACGUAUGGGAAUCGAUAGCUUUACGGGCUACUAGUUCAUUUGAAUGACGACUUGAGGUAGGGAAACCAAUCUGUUGAUCGAGAUGAACAUGGGGUCCUGUACCACAUUAAUUUAUGUUGUAAUCCUUUUCUUUCCGAAUAGUUUAACCUUACAUAUGGAACCUAGGUACACUGCUGAGAUUAAACAGAAUGGCAGUAUGUAGAUAUGUGUGCAUGUUGCCGGUCACGUGAGUACACUGUCCACACUCGUCUCGUGCAUGACCGCAAUACUCAAUACACAGUUAACGUACGUUAGCUGUGGUUUAAAUAAUGGAGACUUGGGACAGAUUCCUUGAGUCUGGAGAAAAGCACUGAUUUCAUUUGUUUAUGCGGCUCUUCCCAGAUCAGAUGCGUCUCGCUCAACCCCAUUCGAGCAAACUCCUGCACCACUCUUCAAUCCCCACUGCUCACUACUGCCCCUCGGCUCUCUCUCACCUACAGGCUCCAUGAAACCGUGGUGAGUUGCACAUCUUCCAUUUUGAUUUAAUUUGUUGCUUUUUCUUCUGCUGCUGCUUCUCUUUUCGUGGUGGAUGAAUGCUACUUCUGCAAUCAAAUCUGCACGACAGCUCUUUUCUGAUCUCUAGAUCCUCAUUCAAAUGUUCUUUCAGGGAUAUCAGUAGUCAGUAGUGACCUGGGGGCCAUGGAGUUUGCGACUGGGGCACUGGGCACCCUGCUUCCAAAGCUGGGACGGCUGCUCCAAGAUGAGUACAACCUUCAGAAGGGAGUGAAGAAAGACAUCCAGUUCGUCACGAAAGAGCUGGAGAGUAUGCAUGCCGCCCUCCGUGAUGUUGGAGAGGUGCCACAGGAGCAACUUAAAGAAGUAAUCAAGAUCUGGGCUCGGGAUGUUCGGGAGCUCUCCUACGACAUGGAGGACAUAGUUGACACCUUCCUGGUGCGUGUCCAGGGCUCGGAGCCUCCCAGCAAAAGGAGUGUGAAAAGGUUGAUCAAGAAGAUGACAAGUAUUGUGAGCAACGUCAAGAGUCGCCAUGAGAUUGGCCAAGAGGUCAAGGACAUCAAGGAUCGUGUCAAGGACGUGGCCGAGCGACGGGACAGGUCAGUGCCGAGGUGUUACUGACUUGCGUUUGAAUUUCAAUAAAAUUUUCUCUGAUUUACCACAUUGUUCUGCUUUUUUUCAUCUCUACACAGGUACAAGGUUCAUGCAAUUACUCCUACCAAAACCUCAGUUGACCCUCGCAUAGCAGCUCUGUACACUAAAGCGUCUAGCCUUGUGGGCAUUGAUGAGCCAAAGGAAGAGCUGAUCUCAAUGUUGACAAAGGAAGAUGGUGGCAGGUCAUCGGCUGAACAAUGGAUAGUCUCUAUCGUUGGCUUUGGAGGACUAGGCAAGACAACGCUUGCUAAAGCAGUUUAUGAUAAGAUUAAACCACAAUUCGAUUGCACGGCUUUUAUAUCGGUGUCUCGUGAUCCUGAUAUUAUAAAAAUUUUCAAGGACAUGCUUUAUGAGCUUGAUAACAAAGAGUAUUGGGACAUUCACAACAUUGCAUUGGGUCAACAUUAUCUUACUGACCUUGUCCAUGAAUUUCUCAAAAAUAAGAGGUACGUAGUGUCUUGUCUUGUAGUCCCAAAUAAUCACGGCAUGAGUCCAUUGGAUGAAGUCCUCUGAAAAUCAUUACGCAUAUGCAUAGUACUGUAAACAGUAAAAUUAUAGGUUUAUCAUUCGUUGUGUAUCUUCUUUCCAUUGUAAAAUUGACCAAUCCAUUUUUUACUUUGAAGAAAAUUAUUACACAACUGUUUUUUCUGUUAAGAAAAUUAUUACUUUAAAGCUUUUGUAAGGUCUUGUGGUUAGCAUUUGGAGGUCUUUAGUUCCAACCUUGAGCUCUGAGUCAAUGAGCUGGAGGCUGGAGCACAUUAGUUUUACACAAUCGAAGGCAUUGACCGCUAAAAAAUGGUUGGUUUUUCUUUUUCUUUUUUAGAUAACAAAUUGAUACAGCCGAAUGCUUUGGCUAUGGGAAAGUUAUAUAUUUUUUUGAAAAAAAGUUGAUACGGCCGAAGGCUUGGUUCACCUUCGGUAUGUUACACACAAAUAGCAAGAGCGUGCAUGUUUGACAUGUAUGUGAGCAGAGGAUGACACUAAUGAAUGCACGUUAGUUUUUUCGUAUUGAACUUAGUUAUUGAGAUAGUGGUGAAAAGGAUUCGACAACUCCCGAAGGCUCCAAGUUGUAACGUAGGAGCGACAACUCUGAAUGUCCACCGACACUCGGCUAGAGAACGUAUACUGAUGAAGACCUAGCCGAAGAAGGUCUGUCAACGAAGACAUGGCUAGAGAGGUCUUUAAUGAUGCUCCAACUUCUGGCUGUUCUGAAAAAUUUGGUGCCGAGCAUGGUGGGCACCAAUAUUGGGAAAGCAGUUCCCGAACAUGUUUAGAAGACUAGAAAGAGGUUGCUAGGGUUUUCAACCAGAGUCAGAAGGGAGAGCCCCCUUGCCCUCUUGCUCUAGGCACUAUGUAUAGGUAAGCUUUAAUUUACAAGCGACCCCUUGAUGGGGCUUGGUUUUACAUGCCACUUCAAUCACUACUACAGAAUAACUUAACCGCGACCUUUUUGAAACCCACUCGGAGGCGAGCACAAUUUGCAACCGCCUUAAUCAAUGCCUCGGAUUAACCAAGACGGUCAUUUUUUAUUAACUGAGGCAGUUAAUCCUAAAAUCCAUUAACUGAGGCAGGCAAUAUAAUAUAACUGUCUCGGUUAAUGCCUAUUAAUCAAGGCGGGCAUUAUAGCGCAACCUCCUCGGUAAAUCAUUAAUCGAGGCAGUUAUAUUACAUUGCCCGCCUCCUAAAAUCUAGCCCAGCGAACUACAAUUUCUCAGCCACAUACCAGAGACGAGACCCGAUAUGAGCGAGCAGUAUAUAAACAAAAGUUAUGGUUUCUAGCUAACUAAUCCCCUCACUCCCACCCUCCCCAGUCGCCUCACUCCCAACCGAGAGCGGUUGCUCUCCUGGCCGCACGCAGGUCACCCCAGCCUCUCCUAGCGGCGGAAGGUGGCUGCCCAUCCUGGGAGUACGGAGCAGCAACAACAAGUAGUCGAUCGGCAGGACAACAUCAUAGGGGCACGCGCCUGUUCCCACUCUGGCCGCGGCACACGAGGGCACGGCCCCCUCUUUCAGUGGCAUCAUGCGGGGCGUGGCCCUCCCCACUCCAGCGGCAGCCGUCACGGGGGGUACGACCCUCCCCACUCCGGCAGUAGCUCAUGGGGGCGCGCCCCCUCCUUUGGUGGCAUUGCGGGGGGCGUGGCCCUCCCCACUCUGGCGGCGGUGUGGAGCAGGUGGUGCGGACUCUCCUCUGCCGUCAUCCCGAGGCCCUCCUUUGGCUCCUCACCAGCCCCACAGCCCCAGCCGCCCGACCCUCUCCCGGUGGCGCGGUGCCUGACCCUCUCUAGCAGCGGUGUCGCACGAGAACCAACGUGAGGCUAUGAGGACGGCGGCAUCGAGGGCUGUGUGUCUGGAGUAGGGCGGGGACAAUGGUGGAUUGGGCUUGGCGGGCACAUCGAUGGGCUUUUUAUUUUUUUCUAAUUUAUUUAUCGAGGGGGGCGAGCAAGCGCCUCCGUUAAUGAUUGAUUAACGGUGACUUUCUAUUGGAGGCGUUUAUCUUGCCCGCCUCGGAAAAUCCUUUUUGCCCACCUUAGAAAAAGAAUUCUCUAGUAGUGAAUGGCACUAGCUGGGCCUCUUCUAGGGCACUUGGCCCAUAUGAAUAUGGCAUGUCCCAAUAUCCCGUUUAACCAAAGUGUCUGACCAGUAUUGGUCGCUAUGUUUACAUGUACUUUUGGUUUUCAUUGCCAGGAAACAAUCUCUCAAUAUUACUGCACACAUGUGUGGUGUUUGUCAGUACAAAAAUAUUAGAUUUGUGACAUAGGGAUAUACUAGUCGGUGAGUAAUUAAGAAAGUGUGCAUAUAUCAUGUUGUUCCAUUGAAGAAACAACCAAUCUCUUUUUGUAUUUUGCUAUUACAAUUUUUAUUCCAAAUGAUUACACAAUUGUAGUUAUAUUCCCGCACUCCGAGUACAUAGACCUAAUCUCACUAGUACAGGGAAGGGCUUUAGCCCCGGGCCGUAAGCACCUUUAGUCCCAGCUACGGAACCGGGGCUAAGGUUUCGGGACUAAAUGUCCCACCUUUAGUCCCGGUUCCGUGGACCGGGACUAAAGUCCACCUUUAGUCCCGGUUGGUAACAGCAACCGGGACUAAAAGGUGCGCCAGGGUGUGCCACCUGGCCUCCACUUUUAGUCCCGGUUGUUGCUACCAACCGGGACUAAAGACUUUUUUCUUUUUUCUUUUUUCUUUUUCUUUUCAUUUAGUUUUCCAUUUAGGGUUUACAAUUAUGUUAUUGUUAUUUUCGAAUGCGUAUUGUUUGCUGGUAGUUUAUGGAAUGCGCACCUAUAAUUUAUAUAAUUUAAAGGAUUACAUAUAAAUAUACUAUAAAACACUAUAUAUAUAAAUAAUAUGUAUCUAUAGGUACAUAAUAAAAUAUUUACACAUAUGCUUCACGGACAAAGUAUUUAUAACACAAUUUAUCUCCACCACUCAAGCAUCGUACAAAUGAUCAUCGUUAUUUGGUUUCAUCUGCUCCUGAGGGUUGAAGUAGCACUCGCCGCCGGAAUCCAGGACUUGGUCGUUAAGAAAUCCUACGAUUGUCUCCUGAAUUCCUUUUAGGCGCACCGCAUCCAACACCUGCUCCUUCAGCCACAUCUCCUUUAAUAGACAUUAAAGAAAAAAGUUAGAGGUAUGAAUAGGAUUUAUUAAAUAGCAACAAAUAAAUGAAAUAUUCUUAUUAUAUAUACAUGUUACAUACUUUUAGGUGCUCAAGAUUAGUUCUUUUGGCAUACACCGUCGUAAACUCGCACACAUAGUAGCCACACAAAUUGUUGUCCGGUGUCUGCCGUAGAACCCACUGAAGUAAGAUGGGCUUUGAAAGUGCUGCAUUCAACUCUGGUAAAUUCUCUAUUUCUAAUUUUUCUAAACAAGCUAAAUUAAAAAAGCACAAAAAUUCUCUAUUUUUCUAAAUAAUCAUGAAAUGUGGUAUGUAUACUAGUUAUAAUUAACUAACUAAAUCGGUCAAAAAUUACAAAUUAAAGUAUUAUAUGUUUUUAUUUUUUUUAAACUAAUUAAAAUAAAAAAACAUAUUACCACUAUUUCUCUAAAAAAACGCGUCGCUUUUGAAAUGACGAUGAAGCUAAUAACCUCUUUAAAAACCAUAAAAUAAAAAACAAUAUACAUAACACUAGGAAAUGACAUACGCCGCUUCUAAAUGUUGAGAAGAUGAAGCUAGUGACCUCUUAACAAGUCGAUGACGGUGUAGAAACGAUGAAAUGAAUCAAUAGCCGGAGAUGAGAGCAAGAACAAGCAACUCCAAAUGAAGAACACAGCAAAAGAGUGAAGAUCGAUGGGCUCGGCCACGGGAAGAAGAGUUCAAAUAUGGGGAGGGACAUUGAGUCCCGGUUCCUUUUAAAAACAGGGUCUAAAUUCCAACACUAGUCCCGGCCGGUGGGACGGACCGGGACAAAAGCUUUUACUCCCGGUUGGUGGUACCAACCGGGACUAAAGGCUAGGCUUUGGUCCCGGUUGGUGAGACCAACCGGGACUAAAAGUCCCCUCUACCGAUGUCUGACAUAAUAGCCGUUGGGCAGUUGGUCUCACCAACCGGGACUAAAAUAUGUUUUUGUCCCGCACUCUGUUUUGGCCGAGAUUAUUGUUCAUUUUGGGCAAGUGACCAAAGGCAUGUUCUGAGUCCAAACAGGAUAACUUUUAGUGUUUAGGGUAGAAAUUAGAAAGCAGUAAGAAUGAAAUUGUUUCAACUUUACGCCAAGCAUGUUCUUACUUACCUUGCAGUAUUACCAUCAUAUGCUUAUAUAUACUGCAUAUCAUCUCUAUAUAUGCUUAUUAUGACUCUAUUGCCCUCCCCACUCUGGCGGUGACGCGCGGGGGCACGGACCCCUCCUCCAGCGGCGGCGUGGAGCAGGUGGUGCGGCCUCUCCUCUGGCGUCAUCCUGAGGCCCUCCUUUUGCUCCUCACCAACCCCACAGCCCCAGCCGCCCGACCCUCUCCCGGUGGCGCGGUGCCUGACCCUCUCUAGCAGCGGUGUCGCACGGGAACCAAUGUGAGGCUAUGAGGACGGCGGCAUCGAGGGCUGUGUGUCUGGAGUAGGGCGGGGGCAAUGGUGGAUUGGGCUUGGCGGGCACAUCGAUGGGCUUGGCGGGCACAUCGAUGGGCUUUUUAUUUUUUCUAAUUUAUUUACCGAGGGGGGCAAGCAAGUGCCUCCGUUAAUGCUUGAUUAACGGUGACUUUCUAUUGGAGGCGUUUAUCUUGCCUGCCUCGGAAAAUCCUUUUUGCCCACCUUAGAAAAAGAAUUCUGUAGUAGUGAAUGGCACUAGUUAGGCCACUUCUAGGGCACUUGGCCCAUAUGAAUAUGGCAUGUCCCAAUAUCCCGUUUAACCAAAGUGUCUGACCAGUAUUGGUCGCUAUGUUUACAUCUACUUUUGGUUUUCAUUGCCAGGAAACAAUCUCUCAAUAUUACUGCACACAUGUGUGGUGUUUGUCAGUACAAAAAUAUUAGAUUUGUAACAUAGGGAUAUACUAGUUGGUGAGUAAUUAAGAAAGUGUGCAUAUAUCAUGUUGUUCCAUUGAAGAAACAACCAAUCUCUUUUUGUAUUUUGCUAUUACAAUUUUUAUUCCGAAUGAUUACACAAUUGUAGUUAUAUUCCCGCACUCCGAGUACAUAGACCUAAUCUGAGUCCAAACAGGAUAACUUUUAUUGUUUAGAGUAGAAAUUAGAAAGCAGUAAGAAUGAAAUUGUUUCAACUUUACGCCAAGCAUGUUCUUACUUUCCUUGCAGUAUUACCAUCAUAUGCUUAUAUAUACUGCAUAUCAUCUCUAUAUAUGCUUAUCAUGACUCUAUUGCCGCAAACAUAUAGGUACCUCAUUGUUAUCGAUGAUAUAUGGGAUACAAAACCAUGGGAGAUGAUACGAUGUGCUCUACCAGAGAACGGCCAGAAAAGUAGAGUACUCACAACUACCCGCAUAAUUGAUGUUGCUGAGCAUGUUGGUGGUUGCUAUAGGAUGAAACAUCUUACUGACAAGAGCUCUAAAAUCUUAUUCUAUGGUCGAAUAUUUGGCUCUAUAGGCAAUUGUCCUCAACAAUUUUCUGAUAUAUCUGAAAAAGUUUUGAAGAAAUGUGGAGGUGUUCCAUUAGCUAUUGUUACCAUAUCAAGCUUGCUGGCUAAUAAGACAAGAAGUAUUAAUGAGUGGUCCAAUGUGUGUGAUGCAAUUGGUGCCGGAGUAGGAAACAAUCCCGGUAUGGACAACAUGAGGAAGAUAUUGCUGCUUAGCUAUUAUGAUCUAACUCCUCAACUGAAGACAUGCUUACUGUAUCUAAGUAUAUUUCCUGAAGAUUAUGAGUUUCGAAAAACUACAUUGAUUUUGAGGUGGAUAGCUGAAGGAUUUGUCCAACUAGAAGAUGGGAGGCAAAGCUUAUUUGAGGUUGGACAGAGUUACUACCAUGAGCUUCUAAACAGAUGCCUCAUCCAGCCAGGAGACAGUGAGGGGGAUGACUUGUCUCCUCUUAGAUGCCGGGUGCAUGAUAUGGUGCUUGAUCUCAUUUGUUCCUUGUCAAGAGAUGAAAGUUUUGCUACCACUGUAUAUGGUGACUGCAGGCAAAUCACAUCUUCAGAAAACAAGGUUCGCAGGCUCUCUAUCCAUAAUGCUAGCUGGCCUACAAUGAACAUGUCAAAAUUAAGAUCCCUUACUAUAAGCAAUUCUGCUAUAAUUAAUUCAAUGCCACCCUUUUUGUGCUAUCAUCUUUUGCGUGUAUUGGAUUUUGAAAAGUGCAAUCUUAAAGACCAUACAAGUCUAGAGUUUCUUUGUAAAUUAUUUCACCUGAGGUUUCUAAGUCUAGUAGAUACUGGAUACGCUGGUGAGGUCCCAAGGGAGAUAGGGAAUCUACAGUUUUUGCAGACUUUUUACUUCUCUGGAACUUACAUAAAACAAGUCCCAUUGAGUAUCUUGGGGAUGAGACAACUAAUGUGCCUUGCCGUUGGGAUGAAUACAAGGCUGCCAACAAGUGGAUUGAGAAAUCUAUCGUCUCUGGAGCUGCUUCGGAUGAAUGUGGAUUCUGCAUACAUUGCAGAAGAGCUGGGCCAUCUGACGCAACUGAGGGUGCUAAUGGUUGUUCUCAGGAAGGACAAGGAAGGCAGAUGGGAUGAAAGGAUAUGCAGAGUUCUGGUGGGGUCCCUUAGCAAACUGCACAAAAUCCAAACUCUACAAGUAGAAAUCUCAGAUGACGUGGAAGUUCAUCUUGAAGGCUCAGUGGACUCCCCGUGGAAUCUAUCUCAUCUUGUUAUUUUUGGAACCAGUCGGCUGCCGACAUGGAUUGAUCACACAUCAUUUCAACUCCUAUCCCAGCUAUGCAUAAAGGUGGGUCAAGUUGGAAGGGAGGACAUCCAUGUCCUCGGCCGGCUGAAGGCUCUUCGUGUUCUCCACCUGGGAAUGGUUGGCGCCAAACAAGUGUUUGAAAGGUUCAUGAUUAGCGCUGAUGCCUUCCCAUGUGUGACACGGUGUGUAUUCUCGGGGUUUUCGACGGUGCCAUCUAUGUUCCCACCUGGAGCUAUGCCGAGCCUUCAACGGUUUUGUUUUGAUAUAAGACUAGAGGAUUUCGGUGAUGAUAGUGGAUUUACAGUUGACGACCUGGCCUUAUGCCACCUCCCGUCACUACAGAGGGUUUGGGUUUGCCUAGAUGGAGAGAGAGCCAGAGACAUCAAAGAUGUGGCAAUGAAAGCCCUGACGAAAGAGGCACACGCCCACCCGAACCACCCUGAUAUUGAUGUCGGAAUCAAUGGGCAGUGGAGCCAGCUGUGCAGGUACAUAUAAGUACUCCUCUCUACCCGGUUCAGUAACUUUUCAAUAACACCUAUGCUUGCCAUGAAUACAGUGACAUCGAUGGCCCUAUGUAUCUCCAACAUACCACCAUGACAAAUUACAUGCAUGUUUUCCAUAAUGCUAGCUUGUUACAGUUUUAUGUCUAUAAUAAUAAUCCUUUACUUUUGCCAUGCAUGUAGUUAUAUAUACAUGUUAAUCAUCAUUCACUAGCACAACGGGUCAUUUGACAGUGUAGCUGUGAGCUAUGUUGCUUUUCACAGCUAGAAUCUGUUCCGAUCCCGUAUUCUGAAAUCAAAUUGGCUGACCCCCGUAGGAAUUGUGACCUUUCUAUUACUAAUUGAUGCAAGUUCCUUGGUGUGUACAUGCACCAGGUAAUGGAAGGAUGUACGCACUAGUUCUAUGGAUUUUCAGCGGAGGACCUCCACCACUACCUACAACAUGUUCCCCCCUUCGAAGAUCUUCACCAAUAUAUGUCCCACUCCCACCUGUUGCGCACGGUCUCCACCUCGUAUGUCGCCAUUGCAGUUGAUUCAUCUACAGCAUUGCCACUGCGUGUGAUCUAGCUUAACUCUGAGAUCACCGUCGAUUGCCCCCGCACUCAAAUAAUUGUGUUAACGUUCUUGUGUAUUUGAUCAUGCUUGCUGGAUCUCUGUAGAUCCACGUCCACCUGGCUUGCUCAAGGUUUCAAUUUACUUGUGCUCUUUAGACCUUCCCGGCCCUCCCUCGAUUCUAAAUAAAUUAUAAAAUAUUUUGGCUUUUCUAUAUACUUAUGUACUUAUAUACAUACUAUGUCUAUUUGCUCAUGCUGGGAUUGGCUUGCUGUAAUAUUGUGGAACAUUAAUGGAGGCACACUCAUAUGCUUCCUAUUAUCGUAGUUUGGAAUAUACUCUCUCCGUUCAAAACUUAAAAAAUGUUUUGGUCUUCUACAUGCAUUGCGGUUUAUAUGUUUUCAUGAUACAAAGAUUUUUUUUUCAUUUUAAGUUAGAACGGCACCGUUAGUUUGGACCGUCAAAUAACACUUUUCUUCCCCGAGUAUGGCUCUUCCCCGAGUGUUGCACUCGGGGAAGAGGGUCUUUCCCGAGUGUCGCUCUUCUCCGAGAGCCUGGUAGGCUACGGCACUUGGGAAAGCCUCUCUUCCCCGAGUGCAACACUCGGGGAAGAUUGGCUUCCCCGAGUGUCCGAUUUUUGGCACUCGGGGAAGCCUGUGACACUCGGAAAAUUUCGGUUCUCCCGUAGUGCUGGUUCCAUCCGACGGUGUUCGACGGUGAAGCUGCAGGUCUCGUGUGUCACCCAAUCGCCGGUGAUACGUGCAUGGAUCUCUAAUGCAGCAGUUGCUCCCGCCGGUCGAGCAAAAACGACAGGUCCCCCAUCUCGACGACCAUGUAUGGGUGAUCGGCCGGCCAACGGCGCUGGCAAAUCUUGCUGCGGGAUAGGCGGCCACGAAAGUGACCUGAAUCCUUGGCUUACGUACGGGAUGGUUUUCUUCCACCGUGACCAAACUCGCCGGUGUGGAAGCUAUCAUGCAACACAUCUAUUUUUAUGCACUCCAGUGUCCAGUCCAUCAAUACCAUGGCCUUGUUUAGUUCCCUAAAAAUUUUACAAAAUUUUUCAGAUUCUCCGUCACAUCGAAUCUUUAGACGUAUGCAUGUAGUAUUAAAUAUAGAUGAAAAUAAAAACUAAUUACACAGUUUGGUCGGAAUUGACGAAGCGAAUCUUUUGAGCCUAGUUAGUCCAUAAUUGGACAAUAUUUGUCAAAUACAAAUGAAAGUACUACUAUUCAUAUUUUGCAAAAAAUUUUGGAAGUAAACAAGGCCAUUUCAUAGAAUUUGAUUAUUGCUUCAGUCUACAAGUCUACAUCUAUUUUUUCUCAAUGUCGUUCUGUAAUUCUGCUCUAAUGGAUUAUAUAUUGGACAUCAUCAUAUAUAGUUGCUAUGAGUUCUGAUUUUUCCCUCCUAAUCUCAAGUAUUUUAAUCCAUGACAAAUUUCUUUUUCCCGUAUCAGUUGCACUUAUCCAGUAAUCUGCAAAUUAAAAUUUUUGCUUUCUUCUUGCCAACAUUACCAGAAAUCAACACGAAAAUUAGGAUAUAUACCUAAUUGUUGUUACAAACGAUCCUAAUUAUCGUAAUUACUUUAUGGUAAAUUAGUCUCGGUUACAGUAAUAUGUUUUCAUGGUGCGCCAAGCAGCCAAAUUUGAAUACAAACUCAACUACGACAAUCCUUAUUUGGAGUUAUUUAUUACUAUAAUCUGAAUACACACUCUUGCUAGGAAACGUUUACUAUUUUGUACUCCCUCCGUCCCUGAAAGAAUAGAUUUCUAGAUUAAAAAUUUGUUCCCAAAUAAAUCAAUUUCUAGGAUAUAUGGUCCCCACUGCUCGCCUCGUAUUCAUCGUGGCUUCCAAGACGCACACGCCUCGUCUCUCUCUCUCCUUCAUUUAGUGGUGGACAGUUGGCUGGAUGAGUAAAUGAUGUGAACAGCUCGUAGCCCAAAGCAGUGAUUCCUGUGCAUCUUAAUGGUAAAAUUCAUAUUAAUUAAGGAUAACUUAGUCAUUUCACAGCUAUGCUAAUCUGUCUGAAACUUGCUAGAAAUCUAUUUUUUCAGGGACGGAGGGAGUAAAUCUCUUCUUGUUGCAUGAAUCUGUUAACUCCUCGAAUAUUUACCACAGUUCACCAUAUGUAUAUUGGCAAAAGUUUCAAUAUACAUGUGCGCUCUCGUAAUCCUUGCAUGCGCAUGUACACUUCCGUGUUCUCGUCACACACAUUGACGUAUAUGAUCCUUGUUAGCUUUGCAUGCAUGCAUACGGCAUGAGCAAAUCAACAUGAGCAAAUCAAGGAGAAUCAAUUACGGUUGGCCACGUUAAUUAUAACUUUCCAAAAAUUACCGUAGCUACCUGCAUGCUGCAGCUCGGCUUCGUCACAUGGUCCACUCAGCUGCAUGCAAUGCAAUGGAAGUUGGCUGAAAUUAAGGCGAGCCAGUAAGAGCAAGUAUUAUAGUAGGCUGUAAGCCAGCUAAAUGCUGAGGUGGAGGAAAGAGAAAAGGAGAGAGAGUAAAAGCGGGCUGUAAGCUUACAGCCGGCUCACUGUGAGACAGAUAUAUGGGCCAUGUAUUAAUAAUGAUGAGUUAACCAUUAUAUAAGUGGGCUGCAAGAAGACUGUAAAGAAAUCUUACAGCCAGCAGCUGGCUGUAUAAUACUUGCUCUAACGCAGUAGUAGCCACGCAAUAAACUACCCAAUACAUUUUAAUAUUCUAGUAAAUAAUUGUGCAAAAAAUAUAGUAAAUAUAUUAUCGUAAUUACACCUAGAACGAAAAAGCAUAACUUCUAGUAAAUAAUUACAAAUUAUUUAAAAAUCUAGUAAAGAUUACUGUAAAAAUUAAAUCUAGUAAUCAUUACCGUAACUAGCUAGUCAGGGUAGAUCGAAAGACAUAACAAUUUGCAAGUCCAGUAAAUAUAUUAUCGUAACUAAUAAAAAGAGGCAGUAUAGAUUCUAGAAAACAAUUCAGCGCCUAAUUACCUCAUGACUAUAUAUUUACAUACGGCUAAAUUAUGUGCGCCAGUAAAUACCGCAUGCAUGCACCACACUCGGGUAAUUACUACACAACCUGGAUAAUAAUGUGAUUGGCUUGUGCACACGCACCAACGGUUCGGUGUUAGGACCUGGCUACAGAAUAACAUACAUAUUCUGUAUCUAGCUACAAAGUAUUCUCUCUCUCUCUCUCUCUCUCUCUCUCUCUCUAUAUAUAUAUAUAUAUAUAUAUAUAUAUAUAUAUAUAUAUAUAUAUAUAUAUAUAUAUAUAUAGUCUGGUUUUAAGUAUGUACUUAUACUGUCUUAAUGUAGCGUAUUCGUGUGUACUUCAUUCGGAAAUGUACUGCGUUCCAAAAUAUAUAUACAAGUACUGCAUUCUAAGAAGUAUGUACAUAUACUUCAUUCCAAAAUGUCUAUACAGAUACUCAUACACGAGCAAGCUCAAUUCAGAUAGGAAAUCACGGUAAGCUAGAAUCUUGGCGACCGUAUAAUGUAUAUAUUAUUUAAUUGAUUAAGUUUGUUAAAUGUAUGCUGCAUGGCUACUUGAAUUCUUACAGUAUCCACUACCCGUUAUGGCUAGUGGUGUUAACACAGCUAAAGAAAAAAUAUGGACAAGAAAAUUCGACAUGACCGCACACAAAAUCGAUUGCUCUAGCUUUUUUUAAAUAUAUAAUAAAGACACCUUUUCUAUUUUGAAGGAUGCUUAUAGCUGGAGGCGGAGCAUUGGAGGGCCAAGGUAGUGCAAUCCAGAUUCUCUGACUUUCACAGGUCACGCCGUUCAUUUGCGAUCCAACGAUGACUGCGCAUCUCAGCUUUCCCACUCCUAGCCUCCUCAGCCCAAACAUAGAAAGCAGUCUAAGGCCUUGUUUAGAUCCAAUUUUUUUUGGAUUUUGACACUGUAGCACUUUUGUUUUUAUUUGACAAACAUUGUCCAGUUAUGGAGUAACUAAGCUUAAAAGAUUCGUAUCGUGAUUUACAGGUAAACUGUGCAAUUAGUUAUCUUUUUAUCUAUAUUUAAUGUUCCAUGCAAGUGCCGCAAGAUUCGAUGUGAUGGGGAAUCUUGUAAAGUUUUAGGUUUUUGGGUGUAUCUAAACAAGGCCUAAGUAAGACCCAUGUUGUGGCUGAGGUAACCUAUUUUGCCGCUCAGUGACUGUUUUAGACGCCAAAAAUCACCGAGCGAAGGUUUUUGCCGCGUCUGCAUUGCCGCCGCCUCCACCAGAGGUCGCGCUCGCCUUUGCCCUUGCGUCUGCUCCGCUCGUCACGCUAGCCGGAAUCAUCAUGUUGUGGAGCGACAUCCUCGUGAAGCUACCAUGUGAGGGUGCCGCGAUUGGCGAAGUGGUGAUUGACGCGCUUGCUGUGAUGUUGCGAACUGGUUGAUGAUCGGCUUCUCUUUUUGGUCUUCCUUCCUGUGAUACUAAUGGCAGAACCCAACAAAUAAGUAAUGCUUGCAUUCGAUUUUUCCCUCUUUGUUUGCUUCAAGACGUGUAGCAAUGAGCCAAUGACCAUGUAGCAAUCAGCCACGAAAUGGGCCUUAAUUGGGCUGCUUUUCAUGUUUGGGCUGGAGUAGGAAAGCUGAGAUAUGAAGCCACCGUUGGAUCGUAUUGAGAUGUGUGUUUGCACACUUCUCAAUGCGAAUUCAGUGGUAGAGAGAGUGGGAGCACAUGCUCUUGAGGGCAAAAAUAAGUUUACCGAAAGUCACCUAUGACUUUUUCUGGAGGAAGUUAUUAGAGAAUCUAGAUUGAAGGUAGUGGCCGGCAGGAUAGGUUGGGUCGUGGGCCUGGGCAGCUGAUUCGAUUCGACUCUUCCACUAAAAUUUAUCGAUGCUGCAGCUUUCUUUAAUUAGUGCGGUCCAGCAAGGCGAAGCAUUGCAUUCUGUACAAAGUGUGAAUCGUCAGACUUCAUGCUCGCUCAGCUUCCCAUUGUUUGGCGCACGCUGGCCAUUCCGGGCAUCGUCACUGUCGCCCAUGGUCUCCUCGAUGGGCUCUAAACCUCGGUGAGUGAAGCGUGUUCAAUUGGAAAGUUUAAUUAAAGAGACUAUAAUAUGAAUUACAGGUUUUUCAUUGAGUCUGGAGUUAAAGCACUGAUUUCAUUUGUUUAUGCGGCUCUUCCCAGAUGCGUCUCGCUCAACCCCAUUCGAGCAAACUCCUGCACCACUCUUCAAUCCCCACUGCUCAUCUCAGCUAUAGGCUCCAUGAAACCGUGGUGAGUUGCACAUCUUCCAUUUUGAUUUAAUUUGUUGCUUUUUCUUCUGCUGCUGCUUCUCUUUUCGUGGUGGAUUAAUGCUGCUUCUGCAUUCUAAUCUGCACGAAAGCUCUUUUCUGAUCUCUAGAUCUUCAUUCAAAUUAAAUGUGCUUUCAGGGAUAUCAGUAGUCAGUAGUGACCUUGGGGGCCAUGGAGUUUGCGACUGGGGCACUGGGCACCCUGCUUCCCAAGCUAGGACAGCUGCUCCAAGAUGAGUACAACCUUCAGAAGGGAGUGAAGAAAGACAUCCAGUUCGUCAGGAAAGAGCUGGAGAGUAUGCAUGCCGCCCUCCGCGAUGUCGGAGAGGUGCCACAGGAGCAGCUCAAAGAAGUAAUUAGGAUCUGGGCUCGGGAUGUUCGGGAGCUCUCCUACGACAUGGAGGACAUAGUUGACACCUUCCUGGUGCGUGUCCAGGGCUCCGAGCCUCCCAGCAAAAGGAGUGUGAAAAGGUUCGUCAAGAAGAUGACAAGUAUUGUGAGCAACGCCAAGACUCGCCAUGACAUUGGCCAAGAGAUCAAGGACAUCAAGGAGCGUGUCAAAGACGUGGCCGAGCGACGUGACAGGUUAGUGCCGGGACAUCAUAGACUUUUGCGUUUGAAUUUCAGCAAAAUUUUCUCUUAUUUGCCUCUUUGUUCUGGUUUUUUAAUCUCUCUACACAGGUACAAGGUUGAUGCUAUUACUCCUACCAAAACCUCAGUCGACCCUCGCAUAACAGCUCUGUACACUAAAGCGGCUAGCCUUGUGGGCAUUGAUAAGCCAAGGGAAGAGCUGAUCUCGAUGUUGACAAAGGAAGAUGGUGGCGAGUCGUCUGUUGAAGAAAGGAUAGUCUCUAUUGUUGGCUUCGGAGGACUAGGCAAGACAACGCUUGCUAGAGCAGUUUAUGACAAGAUUAAACAGCAAUACAAUUGCACGGCUUUUGUGUCGGUGUCUCGUGAUCCUGAUAUUAUAAAAAUUUUGAAGGACUUGCUUUAUGAGCUUGAUAGAAAUGAGUACAUGGGCAUUCACAACACAGCAUUGGGUCAACAUCAUCUUACUGACCUUGUCCAAGAAUUUCUCAAAAAUAAGAGGUACGUGCUGUCUUGUGUGCUAGUCCAAAUAUAAUCACCGCAUAAAUCCAUUGGAUGGAAACCUCUGAAGAUUAUUACACACAUACGUGGUACUGUCAACAGUAAGAUUGUAGGUUCAUGUUUAGUUACAGUCGUCAAUGAGAAAUUGUGGCGGUGGCUUUACAUGUGUAUCUUCUUUCCAUUCUAAAAUUGCCCAAUCAGUUUAUACUUUCAAACCAAAUGAAUACACAACUGUGGGCAAACGAGCAUUCUUGCCACCAUUUGUCCUCAUUGUACUCUACCUACUAGCAACAAUGUUUUUUUUAUGAUAGAAGGUUUUGCUAAAUUUAAAAUCACUGUAUCAGGUCAACGAAAGAUCUCAAAAACUCCAUCAAUCUUUCUAUAACAUGAUUAUUGCACAUAUAUAUGGUGUCUGUCAACAGAAAAAUGUUGGAUUUAUGACAUACAGUUAUAUAUAUCAAUGCCUAAUUGUGUUGUGUGUGCAUCUAUGACGUUGUUCCAUGGUGGAAAUAAACAAUUGCUUUUGUAUUUUUAUGUUACAUUUUUAUACCAAAAGAUUACACAACAUAUUCCACUAAAGAAUGCCAACAUACAGGUAAAACUGCUUCCAUAUAUCAUAGUUCAUACCUACCUAAUCUGAGUGCAAACUUGAUAACUUUAACUAUUUAGGAGAGAUUAAAAAACACAUAAAAAUAGUAAGAAUGGACUUGUUCCUACUUAUUACCUUGCAAGUUAUUACCAACAUAUGCUUAUAACGUAAAUCAUCUCUAUCUAUAUUCUUAUCAUGACUCUAUUGCUGCAUACAUACAGGUACCUCAUUGUUAUUGAUGAUAUAUGGGAUACAAAACCAUGGGAGAUGAUACGGUGCGCGCUACCUGAGAAUGGCAAGAAAAGCGGAGUACUCACAACUACCCGCAUAACUGAUGUUGCUGAGCAUGUUGGUGGUUGCUAUAGGAUGAAACUUCUUACUCAAGAGAGCUCUAAAAUCUUAUUCUAUGGACGAAUAUUUGGGUCUAUAGACAAGUGUCCUCCACAAUUUUCUGAUGUAUCUGAAAAUCUUUUGAAGAAAUGUGGAGGUGUCCCAUUAGCCAUCGUAACCACAUCUAGCUUGCUGGCUAAUAAGUCAAGAAAUGUAAAUGAGUGGCAGGAUGUGUGUGACUCAAUUGGUUCUGGACUAAGAAACAAUCCUGGUAUGGAUAGUAUGAGGAAGAUAUUGCUGCUUAGCUAUUAUGAUCUGACUCCACAAUUGAAGACAUGCUUACUAUAUCUAAGUAUAUUUCCUGAAGAUUAUCAGAUCAAUAAGCAGCGGUUGAUAGAGAGAUGGAUAGCCGAAGGAUUCGUCCAACAAGGAGAUGGGAGGCAAAGCUUNNNNNNNNNNNNNNNNNNNNNNNNNNNNNNNNNNNNNNNNNNNNNNNNNNNNNNNNNNNNNNNNNNNNNNNNNNNNNNNNNNNNNNNNNNNNNNNNNNNNCUGUAAACAGUAAAAUUAUAGGUUUAUCAUUCGUUGUGUAUCUUCUUUCCAUUGUAAAAUUGACCAAUCCAUUUUUUACUUUGAAGAAAAUUAUUACACAACUGUUUUUUCUGUUAAGAAAAUUAUUACUUUAAAGCUUUUGUAAGGUCUUGUGGUUAGCAUUUGGAGGUCUUUAGUUCCAACCUUGAGCUCUGAGUCAAUGAGCUGGAGGCUGGAGCACAUUAGUUUUACACAAUCGAAGGCAUUGACCGCUAAAAAAUGGUUGGUUUUUCUUUUUCUUUUUUAGAUAACAAAUUGAUACAGCCGAAUGCUUUGGCUAUGGGAAAGUUAUAUAUUUUUUUGAAAAAAAGUUGAUACGGCCGAAGGCUUGGUUCACCUUCGGUAUGUUACACACAAAUAGCAAGAGCGUGCAUGUUUGACAUGUAUGUGAGCAGAGGAUGACACUAAUGAAUGCACGUUAGUUUUUUCGUAUUGAACUUAGUUAUUGAGAUAGUGGUGAAAAGGAUUCGACAACUCCCGAAGGCUCCAAGUUGUAACGUAGGAGCGACAACUCUGAAUGUCCACCGACACUCGGCUAGAGAACGUAUACUGAUGAAGACCUAGCCGAAGAAGGUCUGUCAACGAAGACAUGGCUAGAGAGGUCUUUAAUGAUGCUCCAACUUCUGGCUGUUCUGAAAAAUUUGGUGCCGAGCAUGGUGGGCACCAAUAUUGGGAAAGCAGUUCCCGAACAUGUUUAGAAGACUAGAAAGAGGUUGCUAGGGUUUUCAACCAGAGUCAGAAGGGAGAGCCCCCUUGCCCUCUUGCUCUAGGCACUAUGUAUAGGUAAGCUUUAAUUUACAAGCGACCCCUUGAUGGGGCUUGGUUUUACAUGCCACUUCAAUCACUACUACAGAAUAACUUAACCGCGACCUUUUUGAAACCCACUCGGAGGCGAGCACAAUUUGCAACCGCCUUAAUCAAUGCCUCGGAUUAACCAAGACGGUCAUUUUUUAUUAACUGAGGCAGUUAAUCCUAAAAUCCAUUAACUGAGGCAGGCAAUAUAAUAUAACUGUCUCGGUUAAUGCCUAUUAAUCAAGGCGGGCAUUAUAGCGCAACCUCCUCGGUAAAUCAUUAAUCGAGGCAGUUAUAUUACAUUGCCCGCCUCCUAAAAUCUAGCCCAGCGAACUACAAUUUCUCAGCCACAUACCAGAGACGAGACCCGAUAUGAGCGAGCAGUAUAUAAACAAAAGUUAUGGUUUCUAGCUAACUAAUCCCCUCACUCCCACCCUCCCCAGUCGCCUCACUCCCAACCGAGAGCGGUUGCUCUCCUGGCCGCACGCAGGUCACCCCAGCCUCUCCUAGCGGCGGAAGGUGGCUGCCCAUCCUGGGAGUACGGAGCAGCAACAACAAGUAGUCGAUCGGCAGGACAACAUCAUAGGGGCACGCGCCUGUUCCCACUCUGGCCGCGGCACACGAGGGCACGGCCCCCUCUUUCAGUGGCAUCAUGCGGGGCGUGGCCCUCCCCACUCCAGCGGCAGCCGUCACGGGGGGUACGACCCUCCCCACUCCGGCAGUAGCUCAUGGGGGCGCGCCCCCUCCUUUGGUGGCAUUGCGGGGGGCGUGGCCCUCCCCACUCUGGCGGCGGUGUGGAGCAGGUGGUGCGGACUCUCCUCUGCCGUCAUCCCGAGGCCCUCCUUUGGCUCCUCACCAGCCCCACAGCCCCAGCCGCCCGACCCUCUCCCGGUGGCGCGGUGCCUGACCCUCUCUAGCAGCGGUGUCGCACGAGAACCAACGUGAGGCUAUGAGGACGGCGGCAUCGAGGGCUAUGUGUCUGGAGUAGGGCGGGGGACAAUGGUGGAUUGGGCUUGGCGGGCACAUCGAUGGGCUUUUUAUUUUUUUCUAAUUUAUUUAUCGAGGGGGGCGAGCAAGCGCCUCCGUUAAUGAUUGAUUAACGGUGACUUUCUAUUGGAGGCGUUUAUCUUGCCCGCCUCGGAAAAUCCUUUUUGCCCACCUUAGAAAAAGAAUUCUCUAGUAGUGAAUGGCACUAGCUGGGCCUCUUCUAGGGCACUUGGCCCAUAUGAAUAUGGCAUGUCCCAAUAUCCCGUUUAACCAAAGUGUCUGACCAGUAUUGGUCGCUAUGUUUACAUGUACUUUUGGUUUUCAUUGCCAGGAAACAAUCUCUCAAUAUUACUGCACACAUGUGUGGUGUUUGUCAGUACAAAAAUAUUAGAUUUGUGACAUAGGGAUAUACUAGUCGGUGAGUAAUUAAGAAAGUGUGCAUAUAUCAUGUUGUUCCAUUGAAGAAACAACCAAUCUCUUUUUGUAUUUUGCUAUUACAAUUUUUAUUCCAAAUGAUUACACAAUUGUAGUUAUAUUCCCGCACUCCGAGUACAUAGACCUAAUCUCACUAGUACAGGGAAGGGCUUUAGCCCCGGGCCGUAAGCACCUUUAGUCCCAGCUACGGAACCGGGGCUAAGGUUUCGGGACUAAAUGUCCCACCUUUAGUCCCGGUUCCGUGGACCGGGACUAAAGUCCACCUUUAGUCCCGGUUGGUAACAGCAACCGGGACUAAAAGGUGCGCCAGGGUGUGCCACCUGGCCUCCACUUUUAGUCCCGGUUGUUGCUACCAACCGGGACUAAAGACUUUUUUCUUUUUUCUUUUUUCUUUUUCUUUUCAUUUAGUUUUCCAUUUAGGGUUUACAAUUAUGUUAUUGUUAUUUUCGAAUGCGUAUUGUUUGCUGGUAGUUUAUGGAAUGCGCACCUAUAAUUUAUAUAAUUUAAAGGAUUACAUAUAAAUAUACUAUAAAACACUAUAUAUAUAAAUAAUAUGUAUCUAUAGGUACAUAAUAAAAUAUUUACACAUAUGCUUCACGGACAAAGUAUUUAUAACACAAUUUAUCUCCACCACUCAAGCAUCGUACAAAUGAUCAUCGUUAUUUGGUUUCAUCUGCUCCUGAGGGUUGAAGUAGCACUCGCCGCCGGAAUCCAGGACUUGGUCGUUAAGAAAUCCUACGAUUGUCUCCUGAAUUCCUUUUAGGCGCACCGCAUCCAACACCUGCUCCUUCAGCCACAUCUCCUUUAAUAGACAUUAAAGAAAAAAGUUAGAGGUAUGAAUAGGAUUUAUUAAAUAGCAACAAAUAAAUGAAAUAUUCUUAUUAUAUAUACAUGUUACAUACUUUUAGGUGCUCAAGAUUAGUUCUUUUGGCAUACACCGUCGUAAACUCGCACACAUAGUAGCCACACAAAUUGUUGUCCGGUGUCUGCCGUAGAACCCACUGAAGUAAGAUGGGCUUUGAAAGUGCUGCAUUCAACUCUGGUAAAUUCUCUAUUUCUAAUUUUUCUAAACAAGCUAAAUUAAAAAAGCACAAAAAUUCUCUAUUUUUCUAAAUAAUCAUGAAAUGUGGUAUGUAUACUAGUUAUAAUUAACUAACUAAAUCGGUCAAAAAUUACAAAUUAAAGUAUUAUAUGUUUUUAUUUUUUUUAAACUAAUUAAAAUAAAAAACAUAUUACCACUAUUUCUCUAAAAAAACGCGUCGCUUUUGAAAUGACGAUGAAGCUAAUAACCUCUUUAAAAACCAUAAAAUAAAAAACAAUAUACAUAACACUAGGAAAUGACAUACGCCGCUUCUAAAUGUUGAGAAGAUGAAGCUAGUGACCUCUUAACAAGUCGAUGACGGUGUAGAAACGAUGAAAUGAAUCAAUAGCCGGAGAUGAGAGCAAGAACAAGCAACUCCAAAUGAAGAACACAGCAAAAGAGUGAAGAUCGAUGGGCUCGGCCACGGGAAGAAGAGUUCAAAUAUGGGGAGGGACAUUGAGUCCCGGUUCCUUUUAAAAACAGGGUCUAAAUUCCAACACUAGUCCCGGCCGGUGGGACGGACCGGGACAAAAGCUUUUACUCCCGGUUGGUGGUACCAACCGGGACUAAAGGCUAGGCUUUGGUCCCGGUUGGUGAGACCAACCGGGACUAAAAGUCCCCUCUGCCGAUGUCUGACAUAAUAGCCGUUGGGCAGUUGGUCUCACCAACCGGGACUAAAAUAUGUUUUUGUCCCGCACUCUGUUUUGGCCGAGAUUAUUGUUCAUUUUGGGCAAGUGACCAAAGGCAUGUUCUGAGUCCAAACAGGAUAACUUUUAGUGUUUAGGGUAGAAAUUAGAAAGCAGUAAGAAUGAAAUUGUUUCAACUUUACGCCAAGCAUGUUCUUACUUACCUUGCAGUAUUACCAUCAUAUGCUUAUAUAUACUGCAUAUCAUCUCUAUAUAUGCUUAUUAUGACUCUAUUGCCCUCCCCACUCUGGCGGUGACGCGCGGGGGCACGGACCCCUCCUCCAGCGGCGGCGUGGAGCAGGUGGUGCGGCCUCUCCUCUGGCGUCAUCCUGAGGCCCUCCUUUUGCUCCUCACCAACCCCACAGCCCCAGCCGCCCGACCCUCUCCCGGUGGCGCGGUGCCUGACCCUCUCUAGCAGCGGUGUCGCACGGGAACCAAUGUGAGGCUAUGAGGACGGCGGCAUCGAGGGCUGUGUGUCUGGAGUAGGGCGGGGGCAAUGGUGGAUUGGGCUUGGCGGGCACAUCGAUGGGCUUUUUAUUUUUUCUAAUUUAUUUACCGAGGGGGGCAAGCAAGUGCCUCCGUUAAUGCUUGAUUAACGGUGACUUUCUAUUGGAGGCGUUUAUCUUGCCUGCCUCGGAAAAUCCUUUUUGCCCACCUUAGAAAAAGAAUUCUGUAGUAGUGAAUGGCACUAGUUAGGCCACUUCUAGGGCACUUGGCCCAUAUGAAUAUGGCAUGUCCCAAUAUCCCGUUUAACCAAAGUGUCUGACCAGUAUUGGUCGCUAUGUUUACAUCUACUUUUGGUUUUCAUUGCCAGGAAACAAUCUCUCAAUAUUACUGCACACAUGUGUGGUGUUUGUCAGUACAAAAAUAUUAGAUUUGUAACAUAGGGAUAUACUAGUUGGUGAGUAAUUAAGAAAGUGUGCAUAUAUCAUGUUGUUCCAUUGAAGAAACAACCAAUCUCUUUUUGUAUUUUGCUAUUACAAUUUUUAUUCCGAAUGAUUACACAAUUGUAGUUAUAUUCCCGCACUCCGAGUACAUAGACCUAAUCUGAGUCCAAACAGGAUAACUUUUAUUGUUUAGAGUAGAAAUUAGAAAGCAGUAAGAAUGAAAUUGUUUCAACUUUACGCCAAGCAUGUUCUUACUUUCCUUGCAGUAUUACCAUCAUAUGCUUAUAUAUACUGCAUAUCAUCUCUAUAUAUGCUUAUCAUGACUCUAUUGCCGCAAACAUAUAGGUACCUCAUUGUUAUCGAUGAUAUAUGGGAUACAAAACCAUGGGAGAUGAUACGAUGUGCUCUACCAGAGAACGGCCAGAAAAGUAGAGUACUCACAACUACCCGCAUAAUUGAUGUUGCUGAGCAUGUUGGUGGUUGCUAUAGGAUGAAACAUCUUACUGACAAGAGCUCUAAAAUCUUAUUCUAUGGUCGAAUAUUUGGCUCUAUAGGCAAUUGUCCUCAACAAUUUUCUGAUAUAUCUGAAAAAGUUUUGAAGAAAUGUGGAGGUGUUCCAUUAGCUAUUGUUACCAUAUCAAGCUUGCUGGCUAAUAAGACAAGAAGUAUUAAUGAGUGGUCCAAUGUGUGUGAUGCAAUUGGUGCCGGAGUAGGAAACAAUCCCGGUAUGGACAACAUGAGGAAGAUAUUGCUGCUUAGCUAUUAUGAUCUAACUCCUCAACUGAAGACAUGCUUACUGUAUCUAAGUAUAUUUCCUGAAGAUUAUGAGUUUCGAAAAACUACAUUGAUUUUGAGGUGGAUAGCUGAAGGAUUUGUCCAACUAGAAGAUGGGAGGCAAAGCUUAUUUGAGGUUGGACAGAGUUACUACCAUGAGCUUCUAAACAGAUGCCUCAUCCAGCCAGGAGACAGUGAGGGGGAUGACUUGUCUCCUCUUAGAUGCCGGGUGCAUGAUAUGGUGCUUGAUCUCAUUUGUUCCUUGUCAAGAGAUGAAAGUUUUGCUACCACUGUAUAUGGUGACUGCAGGCAAAUCACAUCUUCAGAAAACAAGGUUCGCAGGCUCUCUAUCCAUAAUGCUAGCUGGCCUACAAUGAACAUGUCAAAAUUAAGAUCCCUUACUAUAAGCAAUUCUGCUAUAAUUAAUUCAAUGCCACCCUUUUUGUGCUAUCAUCUUUUGCGUGUAUUGGAUUUUGAAAAGUGCAAUCUUAAAGACCAUACAAGUCUAGAGUUUCUUUGUAAAUUAUUUCACCUGAGGUUUCUAAGUCUAGUAGAUACUGGAUACGCUGGUGAGGUCCCAAGGGAGAUAGGGAAUCUACAGUUUUUGCAGACUUUUUACUUCUCUGGAACUUACAUAAAACAAGUCCCAUUGAGUAUCUUGGGGAUGAGACAACUAAUGUGCCUUGCCGUUGGGAUGAAUACAAGGCUGCCAACAAGUGGAUUGAGAAAUCUAUCGUCUCUGGAGCUGCUUCGGAUGAAUGUGGAUUCUGCAUACAUUGCAGAAGAGCUGGGCCAUCUGACGCAACUGAGGGUGCUAAUGGUUGUUCUCAGGAAGGACAAGGAAGGCAGAUGGGAUGAAAGGAUAUGCAGAGUUCUGGUGGGGUCCCUUAGCAAACUGCACAAAAUCCAAACUCUACAAGUAGAAAUCUCAGAUGACGUGGAAGUUCAUCUUGAAGGCUCAGUGGACUCCCCGUGGAAUCUAUCUCAUCUUGUUAUUUUUGGAACCAGUCGGCUGCCGACAUGGAUUGAUCACACAUCAUUUCAACUCCUAUCCCAGCUAUGCAUAAAGGUGGGUCAAGUUGGAAGGGAGGACAUCCAUGUCCUCGGCCGGCUGAAGGCUCUUCGUGUUCUCCACCUGGGAAUGGUUGGCGCCAAACAAGUGUUUGAAAGGUUCAUGAUUAGCGCUGAUGCCUUCCCAUGUGUGACACGGUGUGUAUUCUCGGGGUUUUCGACGGUGCCAUCUAUGUUCCCACCUGGAGCUAUGCCGAGCCUUCAACGGUUUUGUUUUGAUAUAAGACUAGAGGAUUUCGGUGAUGAUAGUGGAUUUACAGUUGACGACCUGGCCUUAUGCCACCUCCCGUCACUACAGAGGGUUUGGGUUUGCCUAGAUGGAGAGAGAGCCAGAGACAUCAAAGAUGUGGCAAUGAAAGCCCUGACGAAAGAGGCACACGCCCACCCGAACCACCCUGAUAUUGAUGUCGGAAUCAAUGGGCAGUGGAGCCAGCUGUGCAGGUACAUAUAAGUACUCCUCUCUACCCGGUUCAGUAACUUUUCAAUAACACCUAUGCUUGCCAUGAAUACAGUGACAUCGAUGGCCCUAUGUAUCUCCAACAUACCACCAUGACAAAUUACAUGCAUGUUUUCCAUAAUGCUAGCUUGUUACAGUUUUAUGUCUAUAAUAAUAAUCCUUUACUUUUGCCAUGCAUGUAGUUAUAUAUACAUGUUAAUCAUCAUUCACUAGCACAACGGGUCAUUUGACAGUGUAGCUGUGAGCUAUGUUGCUUUUCACAGCUAGAAUCUGUUCCGAUCCCGUAUUCUGAAAUCAAAUUGGCUGACCCCCGUAGGAAUUGUGACCUUUCUAUUACUAAUUGAUGCAAGUUCCUUGGUGUGUACAUGCACCAGGUAAUGGAAGGAUGUACGCACUAGUUCUAUGGAUUUUCAGCGGAGGACCUCCACCACUACCUACAACAUGUUCCCCCCUUCGAAGAUCUUCACCAAUAUAUGUCCCACUCCCACCUGUUGCGCACGGUCUCCACCUCGUAUGUCGCCAUUGCAGUUGAUUCAUCUACAGCAUUGCCACUGCGUGUGAUCUAGCUUAACUCUGAGAUCACCGUCGAUUGCCCCCGCACUCAAAUAAUUGUGUUAACGUUCUUGUGUAUUUGAUCAUGCUUGCUGGAUCUCUGUAGAUCCACGUCCACCUGGCUUGCUCAAGGUUUCAAUUUACUUGUGCUCUUUAGACCUUCCCGGCCCUCCCUCGAUUCUAAAUAAAUUAUAAAAUAUUUUGGCUUUUCUAUAUACUUAUGUACUUAUAUACAUACUAUGUCUAUUUGCUCAUGCUGGGAUUGGCUUGCUGUAAUAUUGUGGAACAUUAAUGGAGGCACACUCAUAUGCUUCCUAUUAUCGUAGUUUGGAAUAUACUCUCUCCGUUCAAAACUUAAAAAAUGUUUUGGUCUUCUACAUGCAUUGCGGUUUAUAUGUUUUCAUGAUACAAAGAUUUUUUUUUCAUUUUAAGUUAGAACGGCACCGUUAGUUUGGACCGUCAAAUAACACUUUUCUUCCCCGAGUAUGGCUCUUCCCCGAGUGUUGCACUCGGGGAAGAGGGUCUUUCCCGAGUGUCGCUCUUCUCCGAGAGCCUGGUAGGCUACGGCACUUGGGAAAGCCUCUCUUCCCCGAGUGCAACACUCGGGGAAGAUUGGCUUCCCCGAGUGUCCGAUUUUUGGCACUCGGGGAAGCCUGUGACACUCGGGAAAUUUCGGUUCUCCCGUAGUGCUGGUUCCAUCCGACGGUGUUCGACGGUGAAGCUGCAGGUCUCGUGUGUCACCCAAUCGCCGGUGAUACGUGCAUGGAUCUCUAAUGCAGCAGUUGCUCCCGCCGGUCGAGCAAAAACGACAGGUCCCCUAUCUCAACGACCAUGUAUGGGUGAUCGGCCGGCCAACGGCGCUGGCAAAUCUUGCUGCGGGAUAGGCGGCCACGAAAGUGACCUGAAUCCUUGGCUUACGUACGGGAUGGUUUUCUUCCACCGUGACCAAACUCGCCGGUGUGGAAGCUAUCAUGCAACACAUCUAUUUUUAUGCACUCCAGUGUCCAGUCCAUCAAUACCAUGGCCUUGUUUAGUUCCCUAAAAAUUUUGCAAAAUUUUUCAGAUUCUCCGUCACAUCGAAUCUUUAGACGUAUGCAUGUAGUAUUAAAUAUAGAUGAAAAUAAAAACUAAUUGCACAGUUUGGUCGGAAUUGACGAAACGAAUCUUUUGAGCCUAGUUAGUCCAUAAUUGGACAAUAUUUGUCAAAUACAAAUGAAAGUACUACUAUUCAUAUUUUGCAAAAAAUUUUGGAAGUAAACAAGGCCAUUUCAUAGAAUUUGAUUAUUGCUUCAGUCUACAAGUCUACAUCUAUUUUUUCUCAAUGUCGUUCUGUAAUUCUGCUCUAAUGGAUUAUAUAUUGUACAUCAUCAUAUAUAGUUGCUAUGAGUUCUGAUUUUUCCCUCCUAAUCUCAAGUAUUUUAAUCCAUGACAAAUUUCUUUUUCCCGUAUCAGUUGCACUUAUCCAGUAAUCUGCAAAUUAAAAUUUUUGCUUUCUUCUUGCCAACAUUACCAGAAAUCAACACGAAAAUUAGGAUAUAUACCUAAUUGUUGUUACAAACGAUCCUAAUUAUCGUAAUUACUUUAUGGUAAAUUAGUCUCGGUUACAGUAAUAUGUUUUCAUGGUGCGCCAAGCAGCCAAAUUUGAAUACAAACUCAACUACGACAAUCCUUAUUUGGAGUUAUUUAUUACUAUAAUCUGAAUACACACUCUUGCUAGGAAACGUUUACUAUUUUGUACUCCCUCCGUCCCUGAAAGAAUAGAUUUCUAGAUUAAAAAUUUGUUCCCAAAUAAAUCAAUUUCUAGGAUAUAUGGUCCCCACUGCUCGCCUCGUAUUCAUCGUGGCAUCCAAGACGCACACGCCUCGUCUCUCUCUCUCCUUCAUUUAGUGGUGGAUAGUUGGCUGGAUGAGUAAAUGGCGUGAACAGCUCGUAGCCCAAAGCAGUGAUUCCUGUGCAUCUUGAUGGUAAAAUUCAUAUUAAUUAAGGAUAACUUAGUCAUUUGACAGCUAUGCUAAUCUGUCUGAAACUUGCUAGAAAUCUAUUCUUUCAGGGACGGAGGGAGUAAAUCUCUUCUUGUUGCAUGAAUCUGUUAACUCCUCGAAUAUUUACCACAGUUCACCAUAUGUAUAUUGGCAAAAGUUUCAAUAUACAUGUGCGCUCUCGUAAUCCUUGCAUGCGCAUGUACACUUCCGUGUUCUCGUCACACACAUUGACGUAUAUGAUCCUUGUUAGCUUUGCAUGCAUGCAUACGGCAUGAGCAAAUCAACAUGAGCAAAUCAAGGAGAAUCAAUUACGGUUGGCCACGUUAAUUAUAACUUUCCAAAAAUUACCGUAGCUACCUGCAUGCUGCAGCUCGGCUUCGUCACAUGGUCCACUCAGCUGCAUGCAAUGCAAUGGACGUUGGCUGAAAUUAAGGCGAGCCAGUAAGAGCAAGUAUUAUAGUAGGCUGUAAGCCAGCUAAAUGCUGAGGUGGAGGAAAGAGAAGAGGAGAGAGAGUAAAAGCGGGCUGUAAGCUUACAGCCGGCUCACUGUGAGACAGAUAUAUGGGUCAUGUAUUAAUAAUGAUGAGUUAACCAUUACAUAAGUGGGCUGCAAGAAGACUGUAAAGAAAUCUUACAGCCAGCAGCUGGCUGUAUUAUAAUACUUGCUCUAACGCAGUAGUAGCCACGCAAUAAACUACCCAAUACAUUUUAAUAUUCUAGUAAAUAAUUGUGCAAAAAAUAUAGUAAAUAUAUUAUCGUAAUUACACCUAGAACGAAAAAGCGUAACUUCUAGUAAAUAAUUACAAAUUAUUUAAAAAUCUAGUAAAGAUUACUGUAAAAAUUAAAUCUAGUAAUCAUUACCGUAACUAGCUAGUCAGGGUAGAUCGAAAGACAUAACAAUUUGCAAGUCCAGUAAAUAUAUUAUCGUAACUAAUAAAAAGAGGCAGUAUAGAUUCUAGAAAACAAUUCAGCGCCUAAUUACCUCAUGACUAUAUAUUUACAUACGGCUAAAUUAUGUGCGCCAGUAAAUACCGCAUGCAUGCACCACACUCGGGUAAUUACUACACAACCUGGAUAAUAAUGUGAUUGGCUUGUGCACACGCACCAACGGUUCGGUGUUAGGACCUGGCUACAGAAUAACAUACAUAUUCUGUAUCUAGCUACAAAGUAUUCUCUCUCUCUCUCUCUCUCUCUCUCUCUAUAUAUAUAUAUAUAUAUAUAUAUAUAUAUAUAUAUAUAUAUAUAUAUAGUCUGGUUUUAAGUAUGUACUUAUACUGUCUUAAUGUAGCGUAUUCGUGUGUACUUCAUUCGGAAAUGUACUGCGUUCCAAAAUAUAUAUACAAGUACUGCAUUCUAAGAAGUAUGUACAUAUACUUCAUUCCAAAAUGUCUAUACAGAUACUCAUACACGAGCAAGCUCAAUUCAGAUAGGAAAUCACGGUAAGCUAGAAUCUUGGCGACCGUAUAAUGUAUAUAUUAUUUAAUUGAUUAAGUUUGUUAAAUGUAUGCUGCAUGGCUACUUGAAUUCUUACAGUAUCCACUACCCGUUAUGGCUAGUGGUGUUAACACAGCUAAAGAAAAAAUAUGGACAAGAAAAUUCGACAUGACCGCACACAAAAUCGAUUGCUCUAGCUUUUUUUAAAUAUAUAAUAAAGACACCUUUUCUAUUUUGAAGGAUGCUUAUAGCUGGAGGCGGAGCAUUGGAGGGCCAAGGUAGUGCAAUCCAGAUUCUCUGACUUUCACAGGUCACGCCGUUCAUUUGCGAUCCAACGAUGACUGCGCAUCUCAGCUUUCCCACUCCUAGCCUCCUCAGCCCAAACAUAGAAAGCAGUCUAAGUAAGGCCCAUGUUGUGGCUGAGGUAACCUAUUUUGCCGCUCAGUGACUGUUUUAGACGCCAAAAAUCACCGAGCGAAGGUUUUUGCCGCGUCUGCAUUGCCGCCGCCUCCACCAGAGGUCGCGCUCGCCUUUGCCCUUGCGUCUGCUCCGCUCGUCACGCUAGCCGGAAUCAUCAUGUUGUGGAGCGACAUCCUCGUGAAGCUACCAUGUGAGGGUGCCGCGAUUGGCGAAGUGGUGAUUGACGCGCUUGCCGUGAUGUUGCGAACUGGUUGAUGAUCGGCUUCUCUUUUUGGUCUUCCUUCCUGUGAUACUAAUGGCAGAACCCAACAAAUAAGUAAUGCUUGCAUUCGAUUUUUCCCUCUUUGUUUGCUUCAAGACGUGUAGCAAUGAGCCAAUGACCAUGUAGCAAUCAGCCACGAAAUGGGCCUUAAUUGGGCUGCUUUUCAUGUUUGGGCUGGAGUAGGAAAGCUGAGAUAUGAAGCCACCGUUGGAUCGCAUUGAGAUGUGUGUUUGCACACUUCUCAAUGCGAAUCCAGUGGUAGAGAGAGUGGGAGCACAUGCCCUUGAGGGUAAAAAUAACUUUACUGAAAGUCACCUAUGACUUUUUCUGGAGGAAGUUAUUAGAGAAUCUAGAUUGAAGGUAGUGGCCGGCAGGAUAGGUUGGGUCGUGGGCCUGGGCAGCUGAUUCGAUUCGACUCUUCCACUAAAAUUUAUCGAUGCUGCAGCUUUCUUUAAUUAGUGCGGUCCAGCAAGGCGAAGCAUUGCAUUCUGUACAAAGUGUGAAUCGUCAGACUUCAUGCUCGCUCAGCUUCCCAUUGUUUGGCGCACGCUGGCCAUUCCGGGCAUCGUCACUGUCGCCCAUGGUCUCCUCGAUGGGCUCUAAACCUCGGUGAGUGAAGCGUGUUCAAUUGGAAAGUUUAAUUAAAGAGACUAUAAUAUGAAUUACAGGUUUUUCAUUGAGUCUGGAGUUAAAGCACUGAUUUCAUUUGUUUAUGCGGCUCUUCCCAGAUGCGUCUCGCUCAACCCCAUUCGAGCAAACUCCUGCACCACUCUUCAAUCCCCACUGCUCAUCUCAGCUAUAGGCUCCAUGAAACCGUGGUGAGUUGCACAUCUUCCAUUUUGAUUUAAUUUGUUGCUUUUUCUUCUGCUGCUGCUUCUCUUUUCGUGGUGGAUUAAUGCUGCUUCUGCAUUCUAAUCUGCACGAAAGCUCUUUUCUGAUCUCUAGAUCUUCAUUCAAAUUAAAUGUGCUUUCAGGAAUAUCAGUAGUCAGCAGUGACCUUCUUGGGGGCCAUGGAGUUUGCGACUGGGGCACUGGGCACCCUGCUUCCCAAGCUAGGACAGCUGCUCCAAGAUGAGUACAACCUUCAGAAGGGAGUGAAGAAAGACAUCCAGUUCGUCAGGAAAGAGCUGGAGAGUAUGCAUGCCGCCCUCCGCGAUGUCGGAGAGGUGCCACAGGAGCAGCUCAAAGAAGUAAUUAGGAUCUGGGCUCGGGAUGUUCGGGAGCUCUCCUACGACAUGGAGGACAUAGUUGACACCUUCCUGGUGCGUGUCCAGGGCUCCGAGCCUCCCAGCAAAAGGAGUGUGAAAAGGUUCGUCAAGAAGAUGACAAGUAUUGUGAGCAACGCCAAGACUCGCCAUGACAUUGGCCAAGAGAUCAAGGACAUCAAGGAGCGUGUCAAAGACGUGGCCGAGCGACGUGACAGGUUAGUGCCGGGACAUCAUAGACUUUUGCGUUUGAAUUUCAGCAAAAUUUUCUCUUAUUUGCCUCUUUGUUCUGGUUUUUUAAUCUCUCUACACAGGUACAAGGUUGAUGCUAUUACUCCUACCAAAACCUCAGUCGACCCUCGCAUAACAGCUCUGUACACUAAAGCGGCUAGCCUUGUGGGCAUUGAUAAGCCAAGGGAAGAGCUGAUCUCGAUGUUGACAAAGGAAGAUGGUGGCGAGUCGUCUGUUGAAGAAAGGAUAGUCUCUAUUGUUGGCUUCGGAGGACUAGGCAAGACAACGCUUGCUAAAGCAGUUUAUGACAAGAUUAAACAGCAAUACAAUUGCACGGCUUUUGUGUCGGUGUCUCGUGAUCCUGAUAUUAUAAAAAUUUUGAAGGACUUGCUUUAUGAGCUUGAUAGAAAUGAGUACAUGGGCAUUCACAACACAGCAUUGGGUCAACAUCAUCUUACUGACCUUGUCCAAGAAUUUCUCAAAAAUAAGAGGUACGUGCUGUCUUGUGUGCUAGUCCAAAUAUAAUCACCGCAUAAAUCCAUUGGAUGGAAACCUCUGAAGAUUAUUACACACAUACGUGGUACUGUCAACAGUAAGAUUGUAGGUUCAUGUUUAGUUACAGUCGUCAAUGAGAAAUUGUGGCGGUGGCUUUACAUGUGUAUCUUCUUUCCAUUCUAAAAUUGCCCAAUCAGUUUAUACUUUCAAACCAAAUGAAUACAGAACUGUGGGCAAACGAGCAUUCUUGCCACACCAUUUGUCCUCAUUGUACUCUACCUACUGGCAACAAUGUUUUUUUUAUAAUAAAAGGUUUUGUUAAUUUAAAGAUCAUUGUAUCAGGUCAACGGAAGAUCUAAAAAAUUCCAUCGAUCUUUGUAUAGCAUGAUUACUGCACACAUAUGUGGUGUCUGUCAACAGAAAAAUUUUGGAUUUAUUACAUACAUUAUAUAUAUCACUGGCUAAUUGUGUUGUGUGUGCAUGUAUGAUGUUGUUCCAUGGAUGAAAUAAACAAUUGCUUUUGUAUUUUUUAUGUUACAUUUUUAUACCAAAAGAUUACACAUCUAUAGUAAUAUUCCACCAAAGAAUGCCAACAUGUAGCUCAAACUGCUUCCAUAUAUCAUCCAAGUUAAUACCGACCUAAUCUGAGUGCAAACUUGAUAACGUUAACUGUUUAGGAGAUAUUAGAAAACACAUGAAAAUAGUAAGAAUGGACUUGUUCCUACUUAUUUCCUUGCAAGUUAUUACCAGUAUAUGCUUAUAAUGUAAAUCAUCUCUAUCUGUUCUUAUCAUGACUCUCUAUUGCUGCAUACAUACAGGUACCUCAUUGUUAUCGAUGAUAUAUGGGAUACAAAACCAUGGGAGAUGAUACGGUGCGCGCUACCUGAGAAUGGCAAGAAAAGCGGAGUACUCACAACUACCCGCAUAAUUGAUGUUGCUGAGCAUGUUGGUGGUUGCUAUAGGAUGAAACUUCUUACUCAAGAGAGCUCUAAAAUCUUAUUCUAUGGACGAAUAUUUGGCUCUAUAGACAAGUGUCCUCCACAAUUUUCUGAUGUAUCUGAAAAUCUUUUGAAGAAAUGUGGAGGUGUCCCAUUAGCCAUCGUAACCACAUCUAGCUUGCUGGCUAAUAAGUCAAGAAAUGUAAAUGAGUGGCAGGAUGUGUGUGACUCAAUUGGUUCUGGACUAAGAAACAAUCCUGGUAUGGAUAGUAUGAGGAAGAUAUUGCUGCUUAGCUAUUAUGAUCUGACUCCACAAUUGAAGACAUGCUUACUAUAUCUAAGUAUAUUUCCUGAAGAUUAUCAGAUCAAUAAGCAGCGGUUGAUAGAGAGAUGGAUAGCCGAAGGAUUCGUCCAACAAGGAGAUGGGAGGCAAAGCUUGCAUGAGAUUGGACAGAGUUACUUCAAUGAACUUCUAAAUAGAAGCCUGAUCCAGCCAACAGACAUGGAUGACGAUGAGAUGAAUCCUUUUUCUUGCCAGGUUCAUGAUAUGGUGCUAGAUCUCAUUUGCUCCUUGUCAAGAGAUGAAUGUUUUGCUGCCACAUUAAAUGGUGACUGCAAGGAAAUCACAUCUUCUUUGGGAAGCAAGGCUCGGAGGCUCUCUAUCUAUAAUACCACUUGGCCUACUAUUAACAUGUCAACAUUGAGGUCGCUCACUAUCUGCAGUUAUGCUUUAAUUAACAGUAUGCCACCCCUUUCAAGCUUUUAUCUUCUGCGUGUAUUGGAUCUUGAAGAUUGUAAUCUUAGUGAUCAUUCAAGUAUAGAGUUUGUUGGUAAAUUACUUCACAUGAGGUAUCUAAGUCUAGCAGGCACUGGAUAUGCUGGCGACAUCCCAAGAGAGAUAGGGAAGCUACUGUUUUUGCAGUCAUUUAGGUUCGAUGGAACUGACAUAAAAGUAGUGCCAUUGAGUAUCUUCGGUCUGAGACAAUUAAUGAGCCUUCGUGUUGGGGACAGUACAAGGCUGCCAACAACAAGUGGGUUGAGAAAUCUAUCGUCUCUGGAGAUGCUACAGAUUAAUGUGGAUUCUACAUACAUUGCAGAACAGCUAGGCUAUCUGACACAACUGAGGGCAUUGAUGGUUAUGCUGAUCAUAAAGGACAAGGAAGGCAGAUGGGAUGAAAGCAUGUGCAGAGUUCUGGUGCGGUCCCUUGGCAAACUGCACAAAAUCCAAACUCUAGUAGUAGUAAUCCCAGAUGACGUGGAUGCUGAUCUUGAUGGUUCAUUGGACUCCCUGUGCAGUGUAUCCAAUCUUGCUAUUUAUGGAACCAGUCGGUUGCCGACAUGGAUCGAUCCCACAUCAUUUCUCCUCCUAUCCUUCCUGGACAUAAAGGUGGGUCAGAUUAGAUGUGAGGACAUCCAAGUCUUUGGCAUGCUGCAGGCUCUUCUUGUUCUGGAAGUGAAAGUGGAUGGCGCCAAACAAAUGUUUGAGAGGUUCAUGGUUACCGUGGAUGCCUUCCCAUGUGUGACACGGUGCAGAUUCUCUGGGUUUUCAACGGUGCCAUCUAUGUUCCCACCUGGAGCCAUGCCUAGGCUUCAACGUUUUAAAUUCUAUAUCCGACCAGAGGAUUUCGGUGGUCAUAGUGAAAUUACUGUUGAUGACCUGGCCCUAAGCCACCUGCCAUCGCUACAGAACGUUCGGGUUCGCCUUGAUGGAGAGGAGACAUUGAGUGAAGAGUUAGCAUUGAAAGUAAAAGAGGCUCUGAGGAACGAGGCACGUGCCCACCCCAACCAUCCUAAUAUUGAUAUCCGAAUUGAUGAGAAGUGGAUCCAGCUGUGCAUGUAUGUAUUCUUUCUUUUUUCUACUUUUUUAACCACCUCUUACUGUAGCCUGUCUAAUAAUCUUCUGCAUGAUCCCAUGAGUACUAUGACAUCGAUGGAUGCCACUGAGUUUCACCCCACACUUAGCAUGGCAAAUAUGCUUAUUUACCUACUAUUUUAUUCCAGUUUUAUGUGCCGCUAAUAAGAAUCCUUUACAUUUGUUACGCUUCUAGUUAUCAUUUUUAUUCAUUUGUUACCAGAGCAAUUGGCGAUUGGACAAUCUAGUUGUGACCUAUGUUCCUUCUUUGCAUAGUUAGACAGUCUGCUGCGUAUUCGAAAAUCAAUGUGACUGUCCUCAUAAAAUUUCUGAGUUAUUCGUAUAUACUAUAUGAUGCUAAUUGCUUGUUGUGUACAUGUACCAGGUAAUGGUUGGACGUACAUCGCCUUUAACAUAGAUUCACCAACUCCACUUUUCACGGUGCAGCUUUACUCUACGAUCGACAUCAAUGGCCAAUAAUUGGCCAUAACUACACUCACAUUGUUCUUGUGUACUCAAUCAUGCUUGACGAACAUAUCUGUAGAUCCACUUGGCUUGCUCAAGGUUUCAGUUUACUAUGUUCGUUAGACUUUCAGUAACAGUUGAUCAUGCCGAGCUGGCGGCUUUAUAUAAUAUUAUCCUAUCAUGUACGUACAAUUAAGUUUGUGCCAUACACUUGUUUUUUGCAAAAUUAUUAGAGGUACCCUCAUGUCAUGUGCUGUCAUCAACUUUUUUAGCUUUUUAUGCGUAUUGUAUCUUCAGUUGCAAAGCUUGUAUUGUCAGGGCGUGGUCGAUCGGGGGUGCGGCAGGGCCGGCCGGGGCAUGGCCGGCCGGGGCUGGGGUGGCCGGAUCCACUGGCCAGGGCGUUGGCUGCCGGGGUGGCAGGCCUGGUGGCUAACGUCGGGCGGCGCUCGACCGGGGGGUGGGCGCAGUGCACGGGUGCGGGGGUGGGAGGCUGGGUGGCGCAGUGUGGGCAGAUGAGUUGGGGUUAGUUUAGGGGCAGGGCGGGUGGGCCUUUAGUUUUUUUUUUUUUUUUUUUUUGCUCAUUUCGCCGAGUGCUAGCAGGGACGGCAUUUGGCAAAGAAGAGUUUGCCAAGUGCCAACAAUUGCACUCCACAAUUUUUUUUGUUUUAUGUUUCCAAUUUUUUAUAGCCUCGUGAGCCGGGAUGAUCAGGCCCACGGAGCGCAGGAGGAGGAUCUCCUUGAUGAUGCAGUGCAGGUAUGGGAGGCUGGAGACCGGAAUCUUCCCGUCGGAACGUUCGGACGGGAGACACGGUCCGAUGGUUUCCCGCCUCCGUUUUCCGCGUCGACGAUUCCGUGCGUUGGCUUGGCUGCAGUUUCUAGCUUUCUACACGUUAGCUGUUGCGUCAAUUACUUUUUUGACUUUUUCAGUCAGCCCAAUAAAAACAGAAAGCGGAGCGAGGAGUAGGAGUCCAUGUACUUAUUUCUUCUUCUAUUUUUCUUCUGUUAGCUUUUUAUCUUUAUUUUAUUCUAUCUUUUUUAUUUCUUUUUCUUUUAACUCUAAUUGUUUUUAUUCUAUUUUUUUAUGUGUUCAUAGGUUGGUAUGUUUAUCUUUUUUCUUUCCUUAUAUUUAUUUUUUUCCAUUUGUCAUGUGGUUUUUUCUUUUUUUUUCAAUUUGUAAUUUUUUUCUAUAUCUAAUUUUUUUCUUUUUCUACUUUUUGUUGUUUCUUUUUUAAUUACUAUAUAAACUAUUUCUUUUUUAUCUGUUUUUAUUUUUUUAUUUUUUGUGUUUAUGUUUCUUCUAUUUUUUUUCUCCUUUUUAUUGGUUUUUUGUGUUCAUGUGUUUGUAUAUGUGAUGUUUUAUUGUUAUCUUAUCUUUUUUUUUUUGAUUUUCUAUUUGUUUUAUUUAUUUUGUUUUCUAAUUAUGUUUUUCUUUAAUUCUUUUCUCUUUUUUAUUAACUUUUUGUGUUCAUAUAUAUGCGAUGUUCUAUAAUACAUUAAGUGUUGUUCUAUGGUGAAUUUAGUGAUGUCCACUUAGUAUACAUAUAAUGUUCUAUAAUGUAUUGAGUGAUGUUUUAUGAUGUAUUUAGUGAUGUUCACUUAGUAAACAUAUGGUGUUCUAUGAUAUAUCUAGUGAUGUUCACGUAAUAUAUAUACGAUGUUCUAUAAUAUAUUUAAUAGUGUUCUAUAGUGUAUUUAGUGAUGUUCAGUUUAGUACACAUGUGAUGUUUUAUAGUUUAUUUUUAGGAUGUUUGAAAAGUAUCUAUGAUGUUCUUUUAAAAUUUUCUCUAUUACAUGUUUUUUUCUUAUGCUUUGCUUUAGAUUUUUUUGUUUACAUGAUGUAUUUAUUUAUUUAUUUUAAAUAUUAUAAUAUUAGUUUGAUGAAUUUAAACUAGAACACUAUUUUUUAAACUCAGAACAUUUUUCUUACGAAUAUGGAACAUUUGUUUUCUAAACCUAGAACAUUGUCUCUCAUAAAUAAACAGCAUCUACCAACCGUUAACUAUGCUACACUGAUAUUAGUCCUACAAGACAGACUUUAUUCACAUGUGUGCUACUCCAGUUGGGCGGGAAACCAUCGGACGGCGAAUUCGGUCCGCCCAUUCCGACCCUAGCAGCCCCCGGCUGGAGAUGUCUGAUUCAUCCACCAGCUGAGCUGUUCUGACGUGCGUGUCCUCACCUUUUUCAUGGCAUCAGGAUGCAGCAGCAGCUGUGCCAUCGCCCAUUCGAUUGUUAGCAUUGAUGUCCCAGUCCCUCCUUGGAGUAUAACCUGCACGCAUGUACCGUACCGUCAUUAGGAAUUAUUUUAGUAUAUAUAUUAUAUAAAUUAUUUAAUAGAAACAUUUCUUACUUCACAUGUUUUCAAUCAAAAUCUCUUAUGUACGUUAUUUAUUGAUGGUUAAUCAACACUUAAUUUUUUUUGAAAAAAAACACAUGCAAGAAAUUUGCCAGGCAUGUAUUAAUAAAGAAGCAACAUAGAUACUCUCUCCAUCCCAAAUUGUAAGUCAUUCCAAGAAUCUUGGAGAGUCAAAGUAUUUUCACGUUUGACCAAAAUUAUAAAGAAAAAUACUAAGAUUUAUAACAUAAAAUGAGUAUACUAUAAAAAUAUAAUUAAAAAAAAUCUAAUGAUACUUAGUUAGUACCAUAAUAAUUAUUAUUUUAUAAUAUAAAUUUGGUCAAACUUAUAAAAGUUUGACUCUCCAAGAUUCUUGGAAACAAUUUGGAAUGGAGGGAGUACAAAGGAAGCAACAAUGCGAUAGCAGGGCAACAACACAAACCCCAUGAAGCCACCAAAUCAGCGGCGAACAAACAACCUUUCAUGAGGCAACCAACAAGGGAAUAGUUUGGGGUGCGUACCUGUGUCAUUGUGGGAUGAAAACGGAUCGGAUACGGACGGAUAUCACUGAUAUCAUAUUUGUUUUCAUAUUUCUGGUCGGAUUCGGAUUCGAAUACGGAUAAUAUCAACCAUGUCGGAUAAGAUAGGAUUAGAUGUCGACAUCAUAAAUAUACGAUUUAAAUAUUCGGAUACGGAUACGGUACCGGAUGUUGAAUAGUCGGACACGAAUACGGACAGAUCUAAACCCCUCUAAACGAAUACGGUCUCGAAUACGAUCGGACAAUAUUCGUACCGUUUUCAUCCCGUCAAUGAUGAUCGAGGCACCAAGGUUUUUCAACCGAACCUAGGAAGUAGGAGGCCUCUUGUAUCAAUGCCUCCAUCGAGAAGCGUGGCGCCAAACCCUCACCACUGCCCACGACACCAUGUAGCCGGACAGGGCUUUCAAUUCACCACCGAAGUCCUACUCCAAAACUCAAACACCAAAGAAGCUACUGGUUCAAAAGUUGCACAUCCACCAAAAGAAUUAGUCAGCAUCCGUGGACACAUAUGAAACGUUGAGAGCAUCUUCGGAGUAUAGACGGCUUACGGCUAAGUUAAGUGGAGUACUGGAGUUGCUAUACAUACUUGCUAGAUUGAUUUCUUUAAGCCCGACCUAGGGUGAGGAGCUGAAACAUCAAAUUUCGAUGGUUAAUUUUCUAAUCCUAAAAGUUUUCUUUGGUGAAGUGAGUAUUCGACCAUAAUCAGUAUUAUAAAAAAUCUACGACAAAGGCAGACAAAUCACUGGAACAUACUAUAUAUACUGUUAGAAAAAGCUUACGCUACGUAUGGGAAUCGAUAGCUUUAGGUGCAGGACGGGGCAUUAGCACCGGUCGGGAAGAGCCUGUUGCCCCGGUUCCCGAGCCGGUGCUGUCCUUCCGGGACUAAAGACCCACCCUUUAGUCCCGGUUCGGGCAACCGGGGCUAAAGCCCCCCCUUUAACACCGGUUGGUAAUACCAACCGAUGUUAAAGGGUCCUUCCAGGGCUGCCACGUUGCAGGACUCUUUAACACCGGUUGGUAGGGUUUCUUUUUUUUGGUUCAGUUCUUCGGUUCUGUUUAUUGUUUUUAUAUAAUAUAUAAUAAUAGGUUUUUUCAAUACAUAUUUUUGCUGAUACAAUAAUAUAUUUAUAUUACACGCAUAUUAAGCAUAUAUAAAUGAAAAUUAUAGGCUUAGCUUAAUAAUUAAGCUUUGCCUACAAUAAAAUGAAUAGACCACAUCAAAAAUUAAAUAGAUAUGUAAAAAGCUUUAUAUAUAUAUAUAUAGUUUUAUAUGUACAAAAUUCGUAACACAUAUAUACAUAGAGUUUUUUCUCCCAAUGUCUACAAACGAUACAAAUGAUCAUCGUUGUUUGGAAUAAGAGUUUCGUUGCCGUUGAAGUGAAACCCGCCGUUUGGAUUGAUCACUUGGUCGCGGAGAAAUCCUGCUAUCGUCUCUUGGAUAGCUUUGAUUCGGUCUUGUUGUAGGACCUUUUCCCUCAGUCAUUCCGUCUUUAGUUUGAAAUAAAUAAAAAAGGUAUUAGUUAUCUUAGUUAUUCAAUAUAAAUCAGGAGAUAAUGAAAAGAGACAUGUAACGUACUCUGAGCGUCUCUGUGGGUGUUUGAUUGACUUGUGCCAUCAUGAAUUUGCACACGUAAUAUGCGCAUAGAUUGUUCCCCCUUCUUGUCUUAAACACCACUGUACGAUAUAUAUAUAAAAAUAUUCACGACCACGACAAUAAGAAGGCUAAAAGUUAGCGAAAAUUUGUUAGCUAGUAGAACUUACUUGUGGAUGUAUUAUGUUAAGCGGCGCUUUACAUCCACUGAGAUGUUCACGGUCAAUGAAUCUUUCCCAAACCCUGUACACAGCCAUUGUGGAUCGUGAACAAAUAAUUACAGAGCCAUAUUAUGAUAUUUUUGUAGCUGAGAUCGACAUUACGUACCUUUGAAUAAUGUUUACCAUUUGUUGAUAAUUUUCUUGUGGUUUUCUCAUUGAGUCAAAGAUUAUCAACCGGUUCUUGGGAAUUUCAAUGACCAUGAGUAUCCAGUGAAAGCUGUUUACACACACAUAUAUAUAGUCAGUCCUAUAAUGUAAAAUAAAAUAUGCAUGCACUUAAUAACUAUAUAACUCACUCGAAGUUGAAGAGGAAGAGUAUUUUUUGUUUUUUUUUGUUCACAAAGAACCUCAUAAGAUUGGUGCAGACUUCUGUCUCAUGAUCUGCUGUCCACACUGCCUGCGGAGCCUUGAAAACAAUAUAAGGGUCAACGAACCCAAUACUAUUGUCAUUUCUCAUUCUGAGCUCUCUCAUUUGGUGCCUGCAUAUAUACAUACAAAUCCUAAGUGUGUAAGGAUUAUAUACAUGUAAUUAAAGAAGUUAGAAGUAUAAUAAAAAGAAAAAAAUACUUACAGACAAAAGCAGCUGACAAGAGAUUUGUCAAGAGCGUCGAGGUGACAUAAUUGGUGCAAUUCUUCGAACUGCACGUAUAUGAGGUCAUCUCCAUGGAAGUAGUGAUGUUGUCUAAUACGAACAGAAAUCCAAUUCUCUCCCCUUUUAGACGCCUCAAUGCACCAUUUGUUUAUUGCAAACAUUUGUGUGCCGAGCUCGUGUAAACGCUUAGGGUCGAAUAGACUCCUGCCCGGUUCAUAUCUUGCCCUCCAUUGAUCAAAUACCUCGACUUUUUCAAAUGUUUGGCAUCCAAGAAUGGCGGCAAUUUCUUCCAUAUUUAGACCGCUCUGUCCAAAGUAACGCUCAAGCGAGUCUAGCUCAGACAACGCUAAGGAUUUCUUUGGCAUCAAGUCUUCAUUUGAGCCGUAUUGAUUUGGCACAAUCAAAGGGGGCACCGGUUUUGAUACUUCUCCGAGCUGUGGGACCCCCUUUCCUACUCUCUUCUUAGGCUGUGAAGACUUGACCAGAGACCGCUCAUAGUCCGAAAGUGCUGGCUUUUUCUGAGCUUCGCGUUGCUUCUUUUGAUGGUCCGCCACCUUCUGCCUCAGUUCCGAUGGCUUCACAUAAAAGUACGGCUUUUCUGGGUUAAGCCGUUUUUUCCUUUCCUCCUUUAAAUUAUCAAAAAAUUGUUUGACCUCAGCUUUGGAUAUAGCAAUUUCCUCCUCUUCACUCUUUUCGUAAGGUAAUUUUUCUGGCGUCUUAGCUCUCUUUGCUGAGGCAGCCUUCUUUGGAGGUGGGACCGAUGACUUCGGUCCUUCUUGGGCGGACCGCUUCUUACUACCUCGCUUUGGAGGCGAGGGGACCAACCGUGCACUCUUUGGAGAGGGCGGUGCAGGCGGUGGAGGUGGUGGGGCCGAUCUUUUUGGCGUUGGAGAACGCGGUAGAGGAGUUGGAGACCUCGGUGGAGGAGUUGGAGACCUCGGUGGAAGAGGUGGAGACCGUGGUGGAGGCGGUGGCGGGGUCGGUGUGGCCGCCGCUGGUGUUGGAGGAGAUCCAGCAUUGUCACCGCCCGCAGCACUAUGAUGCGCUGGGGAGAGAACUGGACUGAGGUUUGAGGAGUCCCUGCAAAGAAAACAAUUACAAGUUGUGUGAGCAAAUUUUUUUUUAAUUUCAAUACAUAAUAAAUAAUAUAAGAAGUAAAAUCACACACAAACCUAUGUUGAGGAAUAAUUAUGAAGCGCUUGCGCCAACAAUUAAAUGUCUUCUCAGCUUCACCUAAGGUCUUCUCUCCGUCUCCCCCUUCUAUAUCUAGUGGCACAUUGCCACAACCUUUCUCAACCCUAUCAACCGAGAUGCUAGCAUAUCCACCAGGUACUGGUCGAUUAUGGAUUCUUGGAGUUCUCGUUCGGUCAAUAGGGUUGACAACAGCGAUAGCCACCUUUUUGCUUGCAUUCCCAUCUGGUACAUGCAGCUCACAGGUAGUAAAAGCCUCUGUGACAUCAUCCACGGGGAAGUGUAGCUUCGUAUCAUCCUGAAUGGUUGGUACUUCCGUGGAUGCGCAGCUGCUUUUCAACUGGCCUGGGGGCCUAACAUUGACCUCAGGCUGUGAUGUACCUUGCCCUUUCGUCAUUUGACUAAGUGCUACUUGCACUUGCCUUUGAAUCUCUGCCUGCAUCCAUUCUUCACAAGCUUUCUCGCGCUCUUGUGACUGCAGAACAAAAGCUUCCAGGCGGCGGAUCCACUCUGCCUCCUCAUCCUUCUUUCUCUGGCGGCUUCUGUAGGUAUCUUGAUCGGCUUGGAAUGAUUGCAGCCACGGAACUGCCCCAUAGCCUCUCGUACGCCCACCGUGCUCAGGAUUUUCAAGCGCAUAGGUGAGUUCAUCCUUCUCCCUGUUAGGCCUGAACUCACCAGACUGAACCGCCUCUCGUGCACGGACUAGUCUCUCUGCUGCUCUAGAGAUUUCUUGGCCCCAAACUAGCGCCCCGGUGUCUGGGUCCAUGCUUCCCCCAUGACCGUAGAACCAAUGCUUGGAGCGCUCGCUCCAAUUUUUUACUAUUGUCUCGGGUGUGACCCCCCUAGCAAGCAUCUCCUGUUCCAUUCGGUCCCACUUGGGAACAACAAUCUUAUAACCACCUGAUCCCAUAUGAUGGUGGUAUGUCUUUUUAGUGGCAUUCUCUUUAUUUCUAUUGGCUCGUUCCUCGCCCUCUUCGGAUGUUUUGUACUGCACAAAGUCAUCCCAGAAGGCCCUCAGCUUUACAUAUUGCUUGAGGUUGAAAUUUGGAGUCUCGUUUUUCUUGACAUAUUUAUUGUACAAAGACUUCUUCCAAUUCUGGAAGAGUACUGCCAUCUUCUUCAUAGUCCAGUCAUAAAUUCGCACCUUCAACUCUUCAUCAUUGGUGUCGAAGGUGAAAACGUCUAUGACGGCUUUCCAAACUAACUCCUUGUCACGAUCAGAGACAAAACUGAUCUCAGGAGCACCUCGCUUCUCUCUCCAUUCACGAGCACUGAUCGGUAUUUGAUCUCUCAUAAGAUAUCCACAGUGACUAACAUAUUUAUUUGCAUGCUCACCAAGUGGUCUGCCUGUAGCUAUCUCAAACUCAGAGAUUACAUAGCGGCCCUCCAACGGCUUCUUUGGCCCUCGUGGAGGUACGCUUCUCCCCGUAGAGGUCGAUCCAGAAGGCUACACGUAGAUAUAGAAACAAAAAUACUAAAUUAAUAACCAAGUAAUAAGUCUAAAACCUAAUAUAAGAGAUACAUUAAUUAUAUAUGUUUACAUUUACAUACCUCGCCAGUAUUUUCUUCUUGUUGCACGACAAGUUGUUGCUCAGGGACAUUGCCCUCUUGUUGCUCAGGGGCAUUGCCCUCUUGUUGCUCAGUAGGAUUGCCUUGCAUGAUCUCGUGGUAAUCAACAAAGUACUGACUACCGUCGUCGAUUAUAUUUUGAAUGGCAUCUUCCAUAUAUUCAGGAUCAUCAUGACGACGGUCAGCCAUUUCUAUGUCUGCAACCAUACAUAUAUAUAUUCUAUAUAAGAUAAGAAAUGCACUAGAAUAAUAUACUAAAAAAAUAAUACUAACAAUAACACUAGAAUUCAUAAUAUACUAAAACACUAGAAUUCAUAAUAUACUAGAAAAAUAUACUAAUAAUAAUACUAGAAUAAUAGUACAAACAAUAAUAUAUACAAAACACUAGAAUUAAUAAUAUACUAGAAUAAUAUACUAAAAAUAAUACUAGAAUAAUAGUACAAACAAUAAUAUAUAUACAAAACACUAGAAUUAAUAAUAUACUAGAAAAAUAUACUAAAAAUAAUACUAGAAUAAUAGUACAAACAAUAAUAUAUACAAAACACUAGAAUUAAUAAUAUACUAGAAUAAUAUACUAAAAAUAAUAGUAGAAUAAUAGUACAAACAAUAAUAUAUAUACAAAACACUAAAAUUAAUAAUAUACUAGAAAAAUAUACUAAAAAUAAUACUAGAAUAAAAGUACAAACAAUAAUAUAUACAAAACACUAGAAUUAAUAAUAUACUAGAAUAAUAUACUAAAAAAAUACUAGAAUAAUAGUACAAACAAUAAUAUAUAUACAAAACACUAGAAUUAAUAAUAUACUAGAAUAAUAUAUAAAAAAUAAUACUAGAAUAAUAGUACAAACAACAAUAUAUACAAAACACUAGAAUUAAUAAUAUACUAGAAUAAUAUACUAAAAAUAAUAUUACAAUAAUAGUACAAACAAUAAUAUAUAUACAAAACACUAGAAUUAAUAAUAUACUAGAAUAAUAUAUAAAAAAUAAUACUAGAAUAAUAGUAAAAAAAUAAUAUAUAUACAAAACACUAAUAGAAUAAAUUUAUGAUAAACAAUUUUAUAUAUGUAUAUAUAUAUUAUAUACAUUUAUUAUAUACAUAUAUAUAUACAUUUAUUAUAUAUAUUUAUGAUAAACACAAUUGUAUAUAUGUAUAUAUGUAUAUAUAUCAUAACAAUUCAUUCAUUUUGCAGAUAAUUUUGCUGGAGUUCGAUUGAUCUAGUACAUAGGAGCGAGGAGACGGCCGGAGUUCCCGAUCGACGUGGAAGAUGUGGCCGGCGCGCGCUGGUGGCCCGCUGCGGCGGCGCUGGUGGAUGGCCGCGGCGGGGCGUUGGGGGAGGGCCGUGGCGGCGGCAAGGGAGUCGAAACGACGACGGCGGCGAAGAUGAACCCGGCGGCGCUGCAAACGAAGACGAAGACGAAGAUGAACUGCCGGAUCCAGGGCUCCUGCGCACAUAUAUAGGGGCGGACCCAUUAGCACCGGUCCGUGGCUGGCACCGGUGCUAAAGGGUCCCUUUAGCACCGGCCGGUAACACGAGCCGGUGUUAAAGGUGCUAAAGGGACCCUUUAGCACCGGUUCCAGCCACGGACCGGUGCUAAAGGGUCCAGCGCGCGCUAUGGCGGGCUCCUGAAAUUUUCAGGAACCUUUAGCACCGGUUCCCACUAUGGGCCGGUUCUAAAGGCCCUGUUUUUUAGUUUAGGGUUCUUCAAUUGUUUAUAUAUACAGUUUAUAUAAUAAAUUGUAUAGUAAAUUAAAUAUUUUAUAUAAUGUUUUUUAGACAGUGACAUAUAUUGUAAUUUGUUUUAAUGUACACAUGAAAAUUUUUAAACUUAAAUAUCUUAUUGUAUUUUUAUAAUUUGCAAUGAUUUUGUAAGAAAUGUUUAGUAUUUUGUUAAUGCAAAAAUAUAUUAUUCCAAUAAAUUUACAAAAACUAUAUCCAAUCAACUGGAAAUUUAUUUUCACAUCAUAUUGACGUAAAACUUUUUAUUUUUGUUAUUUAUUACUAGGAAUGCUAGUUGGGUAUAGUUUUCAUCAAAUAAAAAAUCAUAUAAAAAUUAUAUCUUGAUGAACACACCCUUUGACCGAACCCUAGAUUGUCCCAAAUGGAAAAGUCAUGAAUACAAAGUUUGCUACACUCAUCAAGUUCUACAUUUUGUCUAAUGGUCAACUUUACUUUUGGAAAAGUUUGAACCACUGAAUUUUGAAUUUUCAUAGAACUCAUAGCCACGCAGCGGUUUCGGAACCCUAGAUGGUCUCGAAUGGAAAAGUCAUGGAUACCAAUAUUGUUCCAUUCAUCAAAAUCCACAUUUCAUAUAUAGACCAUUUUUGCAUUUGACAAAGUUUUGGGAAGGUGUAGUUGAAAAUCCACAAAUGACACAUAUAGUUUCAUAUAGUUUGUGUGAGAUUCAAGAAUUGGUGGGUAUUGUUAACUUAGACUUUCUCAAAUGAAAAAGUUGUGUAUAUAAAAAGUUUAGAUCUUAAAGAUAUCUAACAACUUGGUAUUCAAAAUAUUUUCAUUUUAAGUAAUUUAGUUUGUCAUUUGACCAAGUUUGACCAAAACCCGUCUUGGAUUUUAUAGAAAUGUAAUUAGGAUUGGCUCAAAAUUAUCCAAAUGGAAAAAUGGACAAUAUAUAAAAUGUAGAUCUUGAUGAUCUAUAACAACUUUUUAUUCAAACUUUUUUCAUUUGAAGUCAUCAAAUGGGCCAUUUGAUCAAGUUUGACCAAAGUCAAAGCAUUGGUUUUUACAAACACACCCUUUGACCGAACCCUAGAUUGUCCCAAAUGGAAAAGUCAUGAAUACAAAGUUUGCUACACUCAUCAAGUUCUACAUUUUAUCUAAUGGUCAACUUUACUUUUGGAAAAGUUUGAACCACUGAAUUUUGAAUUUUCAUAGAACUCAUAGCCACGCAGCGGUUUCGGAACCCUAGAUGGUCUCGAAUGGAAAAGUCAUGAAUACCAAUAUUGUUCCACUCAUCAAAAUCUACAUUUCAUAUAUAGACCAUUUUUGCAUUUGACAAAGUUUUGGGAAGUUGUAGUUGAAAAUCCACAAUUGACACAUAUAGUUUCAUAUAGUUUGUGUGAGAUUCAAGAAUUGGUGGGUAUUGUUAACUUAGACUUUCUCAAAUGGAAAAGUUGUGUAUAUAAAAAGUUUAGAUCUUGAAGAUAUCUAACAACUUGGUAUUCAAAAUAUUUUCAUUUUAAGUAAUUUAGUUUGUCAUUUGACCAAGUUUGACCAAAACCCGUCUUGGAUUUUAUAGAAAUGUAAUUAGGAUUGGCUCAAAAUUAUCCAAAUGGAAAAAUGGACAAUAUAUAAAAUGUAGAUCUUGAUGAUCUCUAACAACUUUGUAUUCAAACUUUUUUCAUUUGAAGUCAUCAAAUGGGCCAUUUGAUCAAGUUUGACCAAAGUCAAAGCAUUGGUUUUUACAAACACACCCUUUGACCGAACCCUAGAUUGUCCCAAAUGGAAAAGUCAUGAAUAUAAAGUUUGCUACACUCAUCAAGUUCUACAUUUUGUCUAAUGGUCAACUUUACUUUUGGAAAAGUUUGAACCACUGAAUUCUACAUUUUCAGAGAAUUCAUAGCCACGCAGCAGUUUCGGAACCCUAGAUGGUCUCGAAUGUAAAAGUCAUGAAUACCAAUAUUGUUCCACUCAUCAAAAUCUACAUUUCAUAUAUAGACCAUUUUUGCAUUUGACAAAGUUUUGGGAAGGUGUAGUUGAAAAUCCACAAUUGACACAUAUAGUCAUGACAAUUUUUGCAUUUGAUGAUCUCUAACAAUUGGAAAAGUCAUGAAUACAAAGUCAUGAAUACAAAGUUUGUUACACACAUCAAAAUUCACAAUUCUCAAAUAUAGUUUCAUACAAAGUCAAGCCGACACAACAGUGAACUUCUUCUUGACGUAUGACCCUUGGUUAUGAUUCUGCCAUAACCAUGGAGUAUCCUCAUUGUUUAACAGAAUGCUUGGGUCUUUGUUGACUAUGAAGGGCGGAAUUCGAUCAUCCCUUUCGUAAUCGCCUGACAUGUCUGACUUGUCCUCAAUUCCGACAAUGUUUCUUUUCCCAGAAAGGACAAUGUGGCGCUUUGGCUCAUUGAUGAUUGAGUGGUCAUCAUUUUUUCCUCUCUUUGGUUUCGUAGACAUAUCUUUGACAUAGAACACCUGACUCACGUCUGCAGCAAGGACGAAUGGUUCGUCUUUGAACCCACUAUUGUUAAGGUCCACGGUUGUCAUCCCAUACUCCUUGUCGAUUGUUACCCCACCUCCGGUCAUCUUCACCCAUUGGCACCGGAACAAAGGAACUUUAAAAUUAGCUGCAUAGACUAGUUCUCAUAUGUCUUCUAUGCGUCCAUAAUAUGUUUGUCUGUUCCUAUUUGGAUCUGUGGCAUCCACGCGUACACCACUAUUUUGGUUGGUGCUCCUUUUAUCUUGGCCAACUGUGUAAAAUGUGUUACCAUUUAUCUCGUACCCUUUGUAUGUGAGGACAAGCCAUGAUGGUUGCCUGGCCAACAAAUAAAGCUGCUCAUCAAUGUUUUCAUCACCUUGACAUUUUUUGCGCAACCAAUCGCCAAAAGUUUCCAUGUGCUAACGCAUUAUCCAAGCUUCAUUCUUCCCGGGCCACUGGGACCGUCACUACAAGAAACACAUGGCUUUUUAACGUUUAGUUAUGUCACAAUAUAUGGAAUUUAUGUUACAAAUUAAGAUUUGUGACAUCAAGUUGACAAAAAUCAAAACGUGGAAAAGCCCGCGUCAUAAAAUGAUUAUGUGACAUUUGUUUGGUUCAUGUCACAAGCAUAUGACAUUGAUUUAUUGUCACAAAAUCGUAGGUCUUGCCACGUGGCAGCUGACAUGGCAGGGAAAAAAAUAUCACAAACACUACAAAAAAUGUCACAACCAUCAUAAUUCUGUUACACGUCAGUAUGCUGUUUAUGGCCCAUUAUUCAUGCCCAUGUGUUUGUGGCACGCUCAUGAAAUACAUAUAAAUUGGAAGAAAGCUCACAAUUGACAAAAUAUUGGUCAUCUUUUUCAUUGAAACCAUCAACAUUUGUACUUGUACAACUUUUCAUAGAAAAUACAAAGGCAAUAAGCAAGCUACACACAAGUAGCUACAAAACUAAGAGGGUAGCUUGCAUAAUACAACUCAUAUGAUUUGCUUGCAUAACAAAAUCUUUCAAAAAUAGCCACCAUGAGCACUUUUACAAUACUAGUUCUCAUCUCAAAGGUCCGCUGGAAGUGCUUCUCAUCGAUCAGAUGCUGAAGCAGGCCACGCUAUUCUUCUCAUAGGCAUGUGCAAUCUCCACCUGCCAAUAACCAGGUAGUGCAUCUAAAAUUCAGUCACGAAUUAGAUCUAAUCUUAAAUUAAGUCAUAAAUUACCUUCGUGCUGGUUGACAUGGAUGAGCAGCUAAACUGUUGGUUUUUAACUGCAAUGGGAGCAAACUACAAUAACGUAAUGGUUGUAUCCAGAACACAAAAACAGUUAUGCAAUCAUAGCCAAAUUCUCUGUAGAACUAGAGUAGGGAUAAACAUUCUCAUAUGAAUAGCACAAGAGUAUAGGUUUUAUCAUUAGCAACUACAGAUGGGAUUCAGAACCAUAAUGCUCCAUCCCACACUGUAUCAGAAAUUGCAGUAUCAAUUUUAAAGAUCAAAAGAUACCUUUUAAGCAAAGAUAUAUUUUUAGACAACAAAAAAACACUAGUAUUGGAAAAUAGAACAGGACAUUGCAUCAUAUAGACACCAAAGUUUAGAGUAGUCCUUAUGGCAAAAGGUAAUUGAAGAAAGGAAGCUUCACUCACCCUACUGAAUUCAGUGGUUGCUGUAGUCGCGCAGAAAAACUAAUUGCAUUUGGCCUCACAAUUUCCUCCCUGUAGACAAAUGAGAAUGGAAUCAUAUGUACGUUGCUAUGACUAACAUAUGCUCUCUAAAUUAUGGAUACGAUCUAAGCAUGCCAACACAAGCGCAUCAUAUAUAAUAAAGAUUUACCUUAGCAUAUGAUAAAACAUAUACUCUCUAAAUAGAACAGGAAAGCAAAAUAACCUACAUGUAGAUGUAUAGGAAGGGAAGUCAAAUCAGUCUUGAUCUCAAAGAUCCUGUUCUUCCCCAAAAUCCCAAAAUCCGAACCCUAAAUCAAAAGUUUUUCCAAAUUUCGUCCCAAAUCCCUACCCCUAAGAUCAUCAAAAUAAUUUUGCUUACCCUAAGACGUCACACUUGUGCCAUGAAGACUAUCAUAUCAUUGUGCCUUGAACACAUUAAAUGAACUAGGAAUAACAGAAUGACAUCUCUGAAACCAGGUUAUUGCACUAUAAACUGGGUUAUCAAGCUGACCUUUCAAGGGAGCUGCUGGUCCAAAGUUGAGACAACAUCAAUCAGCAAUUCGAGAUGCUUACUGGUAGUAUAGCAUAAACGAAAACAAGCAUAGCAAGCAAACCAACUAAAUAACUAAGAACACGGCCAUAAGGCACCAACUACUAAACAAUUUUAUUAACUAUGUGAAACGCACCUGAGAGUCAGCUGAACCACACAGGGAAAGUCAAAAGUAACAUUUUUCCUCUUGCACAAACCUCUCUUCUCCCUCUCAUGUAUAGAUCCAACACAAUGAAAUUUACAGGAACAUCUAGCAAUAAAAUUAAAAAUAUACAAAGACAUACAUUUUAUUAAUUUGUGAGAACUUACCAAUUUCCUCUUGGACUGAACCAAGGAAAUUGCCACCUUGAAGUAUUGCUGCAAAUUUCAAUUUAAGAGUUCAAUGAGUGCACAGCGAAACAAAAUAUUGAUACAAGACAGAAGUUUUGAUGAUUUAACUAAAUAAAGUUUAUACUAAACAAUUAGAAACAUCCUUAACCUGCUAGAGUGGGCUGAAUGGCUGUCCUCUAGAACUUGUUAGUGUUGGCAUGGCUACCUUUAUACUUUAGGCUUUUUGUGACACACAAAUACAGAGAAAGCAACAAAAAAAUUCAGUCAGCGACAUAAUAAGCAGUCAAUCGUUUUGCUGAGCUUCCAGAGUAACUGCAAAUGCGUGGUCAGAUAGAACACUGCUCAAACCUAAUCCUGUCUGCACAUUAACUAAUUACUACUAUAUCUGCCCUGAUAGGAAACGCAAUGCAGAACCCUAUCCUGAGGCAAAGCUGCAGUAGUGCCACACUGUCUGACUGGCAUCUAAUUGCUACGCAAAUCGCUCACAUUUCAGAAAAGGAAUUUUCCUGUGCUGCUUCAGAUAAAAGUAUUCUUUUUUGAUUUAUUUAUAAGCACUAUUUGAUUAUUAGAUACUCUUGUGAAGUAAAUACUCUAAUCCAAUUAUAUUCAUGUACUAAAAAUACUUUUUAAAUAAAAUAGACUACAUAUAUGUCUCUUUGUAGUAGUUUCACAAAUUUAAGAACCAAUUUACUAUUUUCUAUUGUUUAAAUAAAUACCUACGUGCAUUUGGAAAAUCACUACAACUUCGUAUCUAACAAUGUCCAAAAAUUAGAAAAAAAUAUGUAAGAAGACAUGUUAUAUUUGAGAUUACAUCCUAAAAUUAGAUGAAAAAUAAAUUGUUUUAAAUCAUUUUGACAAAAUGAGACAGUAUAUUGUUUACGAAUGGAUACAUCUCUCACAUAGUUAUAUAACUAUAUAUGAGACAUGUGAGAGAUUUUACCUAUUUAUGAAUAAUGUAUAGUCCAACAAUAUUAGACACCCGACAUCAACAUGCACAAUUUAUUUUAAAAAUUUUAAUAAAAUAAUUUGUGACACAUAAACAAGCAUUAUGACACAAAAAUAUUGUCACUAGAUGAAAUUUGACUUGUUAAAUGACAUUUGUUGUGACAUACAACUUUUUAUUGUCACUAAGUCAUAGUGCCUAGAAUAUAAUGUCACAAAAUGGAUGAUGUAGUGACAUUAUGACCAUUGUCAUAUUAAAAACGUUAAAAAGCCACACAUUUCUUGUAGUGCGUAGGAAAUCUUUGUGUACCUCAACAUAUGGUUCCACCAAUGAGGAGUUCUGGAGAACUGUGUAGUGUGCUUUAUUGAAGUAAUCGUCUCCCGUACCAAUAUAUGUUUUCUUCGAAAGUGUUCCCUUUCCGCUGAGUCUGCCCUCGUGUCGAGAUUCAGGAAUGCCAAUUGGGUCAAGGUCUGGAAUAAAGUCAACACAGAACUCUAUGACCUCCUCUGUUCCGUAGCCCUUGGCAAUGCUUCCUUCUGGCCGGGAACGACUAUGGAUAUAUUUCUUUAGGACACCCAUGAAUCUCUCGAAGGGGAACAUGUUGUGUAGGAACACAGGACCGAGAAUACGAAUCUCUUUGACCAGAUGAACUAGGAGGUGUGUCAUGAUAUCGAAGAAGGAUGGAGGGAACACCAACUCAAAGCUGACGAGACAUUGAACGACAUCAUUCUGCAGAGUAGCUAGUUGCUCUGGAUUGAUUGCCUUCUGAGAAAUUGCAUUGAGGAAUGCACAUAGCUUUACGGUGGCUAGACGUACGUGUGGAGGUAGAAUUCCUCUUAAAACGACCGGCAACAAUUGCAUCAUUAGAACGUGACAGUCAUGGGACUUCAAGUUCAGGAAUUUCUUCUCUGGCACAUUAAUUAUUCCCUUGAUAUUUGAGGAGAAUCCAGAUGGGACCUUGAUGCUGCUAAGACAUUCAAACAUGCUUUCCUUCUCUUCUUUGCUCAGAGUGUAGCUAGCAGGGCUUAAGUAAUGACGUCCAUCAUCUGUCUUUUCUGGAUGCAGGUUGUCUCGUUCUUUCAUGCGCUGCAAGUCUUGUCGUGCUUCAAGUGAAUCCUUAGACUUCCCGUAGACACCCAUGAAUCCGAGCAAGUUCACACAAAGAUUCUUUGUCAGGUGCAUCACGUCGAUCGCAUUGCGGACCUCUAGGACAUUCCAGUAAGGUAGCUCCCAAAAUAUAGAUUUCUUCUUCCACAUGGGUACGUGUCCCUUAGCAUCCUUGGGAAUAGGUUCGCUGCCUCGUCCCUUUCCAAAUACCACUUUUAUAUCCUUGACCAUUUCGAGUACAUCAUCCCCGGUUCGAUUGAGAGGUUUGGUCCGGUGGUCUGCCUUGCCUUUAAAAUGCUUGCCUUUCUUUCGUACUGGGUGGUUCACAGGAAGAAACCGACGGUGGCCAAGGUACACGACCUUUUGACAUUUUUUCAAAAAUACACAGUCAAGGUCUUCAUAACAAUGUGUGCAUGCAUUAUAUCCCUUGUUUGACUGGCCUGAAAGAUUACUCAGAGCUGGCCAAUCAUUGAUUGUUACAAACAGCAAUGCUCGCAGGUCAAAGUGCUCUUGUUUGUACUCAUCCCACACGCGAACUCCUGGUUUGCUCCAUAAAAGUUGAAGUUCCUCAACUAAUGGCCUUAGGUAGAUAUCUAUGUCAUUGCCAGGUUGCUUCGGUCCUUGGAUAAGCACCGGCAUCAUAAUAAACUUUCGCCUCAUGCAUAGCCAUGGAGGAAGGUUGUAGAUACAUAGAGUAACUGGCCAAGUGCUGUGACUACUGCUCUGCUCACCGAAAGGAUUCAUACCAUCUGUACUUAAGGCGAACUGCAAGUUUCUAGCAUCAUCUGCAAAAUCUGGGAAUUCUCUGUCUAUCGCUCUCCACAGUGGGAUCCAUCGGUAGGGUGUCUCAGCAUAUUGUCUAUCUUACGGUCUUCUUUAUGCCACCGCAACAACUUUGCAUUGUCCUUAUUUCUGAACAGACGUUUUAAUCGUGGUAUUAUAGGAGCAUACCACAUAACCUUGGCAGAAAUUUUCUUCCUAUGACGUUCUUCACCCUCAACAUCGCCAGGAUCAUCUCGUCUAAUCUUAUACCGUGAUGCCUUACAUACUGGACAUGCAUCCAAAUUCUCGUAUUCCUCCCCACGGUAGAGGAUGCAGUCAUUAGGACAUGCGUGUAUCUUCUGGAUUUCUAAUCCCAAAGGGCAGACAACCUGUUUUGCUUCAUACGUAGUGGUGGGAAAUUGGUUGCCUUUCGGAAGCAUCUUUUUUAUGAUCUUCAAUAAUUGCCCAAAUGCCUUGUCAGAUGUACCAUUCUUUGCCUUCCAUUGCAGCAAUUCUAGUGUGGUACCCAGCUUUUUUUUGCCCCUCUUCAGCGGUGGGAUAUAGCGAUUUCCUGUGGUCCUCUAGCAUGCGCUCGAACUUGGCUUUCUCUUUAUCACUUUCACAUUCUCUUUGUGCAUCACGGAUGGCAUCACCAAAAGCAUCAUCGCCCCGAUCAUCUUCUGCCGCCACCUCUUCUUCAUUAUCUCCCCCCAUUGCAACAUCAUUGAAGCCACCGUACUGAGCAAUAAUAUUGGCAUGGUCCAAUUCUUCUUCUUCUUGUUCUUCUUCACCUUCAUCCAUUAUAAUCCCGCUAUCUCCAUGUUUGGUCCAACAAAUAUAGUUUGGUACGAAACCAGACUUUAAUAAGUGUGAAUGAAGAGUUCUUGAGUUAGAAUAUUCCGUCAAAUUCUUGCACACGACACAUGGACAGCACAUGAAACCGUUCCUCUUAUUUGACUCGGCCACACUUAAGAAAUAGUGCACGCCAUUAAUGAACUCUUCGGAGCGCCGAUCGGCAUUAUACAUCCAAUUAUGUGUUACCAUCUGCAUUAAAUAUAACAUAUAUAUUAUGAAAACCAUGCACACAUAUAGUUUCUCAUCUUAUUGCACAACAUAUCUAAGAUACAUAGUUGAUUAAUUUAGGAAAGCUUGGCUACAACAAAUACAAUCGCAACUAGCACUAAAAAAACCAAAACUAAAAUGCACUUAAGCAACAUAAUUAGUUCGCGUCCGAUCCCAACUAUAAUAGAUAGAUCAUUCGCUUGAUCAACAUCAUUGAACUUCUUUCGUCGGCUCACUGCCUCACCACCUUCAGCCUCAACCACCUGUGCAAAAGAUUUCUUAAUGUGUUCAAUGUAUUCUUCCUCCCAGUACCAACCUGUACAUCCGCCGGUACCGUCCCACUGAAAUUAAAAGAGAGAAUCAAAAGUUUAAUUAAUAUCAUUUAAAAAAUAUGCACAUAUAUAAGCAAAUGUCUGGAAAUAACUCACAUUACGAUCUGGACACUUGUAGAAUAUACGACCCUUGUUUACUCCCUCUUUCGACACUUUGUACUCCAUCAAAAUCUUCUGCCCACACUUGCCACAAGUAAUGAGAGGGAGUUCCGGACGGUAUCGCUUUUGAACCCGUUGAGAGACCGAAGAUGUCACACCCGGAUGUAAAAGAGCAUUCGGGUGCCAAAAUCACAUGUGCGCCAGGAUCUCAAAUUCACACACAUGGACCGACAUCAUCAAUGGUACAAAACACAGUGUUCAAACGAAUUACAUAGAUGAGAGUAAAAGUACCAUUAUUACAAGCCAAAAGUUUAUCAAAGUGCAGAGGGGAAACAUAAACUAAACUGUUCCAUAAAUAAAGGGAAAACUAAACGCCGACGUAGCAGGACCACCUUGCCACAGGAAGGUCGACGGUAGAACCACACGAGCCUAACAACCAGGAGACUCAGGGUAGUCCUCAGGGAAAUCGCAAUUGUACUCCUGAUCGUCCGAGCAACCUUUAAUGAUUAUAGCAAGGGUGAGCUCAUGUCGAACUCAGCAAGCACAGACGGAAAGUAAUGACAUGCAAGGCUUAAAACAAGGUAAAGCUGACUUGGUUUGACUGCGGUAGCAUUUUAGUUGAUCGCUUUUAAUUAUAACAAUUACUAGAACAACCUAUUACUAAAUAUGAGUAGCAUAAACCCAACCCUUAAUUAGUGUAAGUAGUAAUUAGCAUCUUUUAAAAGACUAUCCUAAUUAUUAUAGUAAUCCAGGGAUUAACCCCAAUUAUUACCACAGGAUAGCAAUCCUGCCAUCACGGAAUAGCCAUUCCGCCAAAACACGAGGUAGCAACCUCGCCAAGGUCCAUCUCCAAGUAACCAGUGAAUCCAAUUUGCUCGUCAAGUGAGGGUCUGGGCCGCUCGUGACCGUGAGCACGGCUGAUAUAUCAGUUUUACACUCUGCAGAGGUGUGCACUUUCACUCCAAGUCGUGAUUCCCAUUUGCCCGGGGUCGCGACUCCCCAAAACACUACCGAGGUGAGCAGGCAGGGUCUCACUACGAGACCUUUCACAGGGUCCAACUAAUAGGAUGCCACUCGCAAGUUUUCGCCGGGGCGCUCGACAGUCGAUACCCAUAGUCAUGGCGUACCGAUCAACCGACAACUUAAUAUUCAUUACCCAAGUUACUUCCUCACGCCUACCCGGAAAGUAACACCCUACUAGUGGAGGUCCUGCUAAUUAGUCAAGCCAGAGCCAUAUAGCUUGGAGCUGCACUGUAAGUCCCAGGGGGCCGCUCCCUGACUAAGUCCUUACGGAGAGCAGAGACGGGUACGCCCGGCAAACCGGACCACCAACGGUACCCGCUCCCCCUGUCACCACCAUCAUCACGAUGCUCAUAAGCAUCCAACAUCGCCAUCACCGCAGUGACCAAAGAUUCAGCACAAUUUAAGCAUCAAGUUGAGUAGAGACUAAUACUGGUUUAGGCAUGUGUAUAAGAUGAGUAGAGCAGCUAAGCAAACCUAGUAUAGCCUAGUCUACCCAAAUACAUAACCCCAGGUGAGCAAGGAAUAAUAAGUGAAGCUAGUCAUGUCCUUAGGGUUUGCAUUCAUUGGACACAUGCAUAUAAAGUAAAUGACAUUAAUGAGUAGGUUCAAAAUGAUCAAACGGUGUCUGCACUUGCCUUGAUCGAAGUCGGGUUGCUCGAACUCAGCGGGAUCCUGAACCUCUUCCUUCACGAACGUCUCGUUGGCUAUACGCGACAAUCAUCAAUCAUAGGAACAAUACAUGCAAGCAAACAAACUUAAUCAGAAACAGUACACCAAAGCAUGCGAAAACAAAAAGCAACUGCACUACUGUAAUCUACUCGACGAAACGAAACCAUAGCGACCAGAAUCACCUAAAUCGGAGUUACGACGCAAAAGUUAUGGCUAAAACAAGUUGAAUGGCAUUUCUGUAGAUAAACUGAACUAUUUUUCGUAAUAAAACUAAUUAAAAACUGAAUUAAUAAGGAAUUUGGAUUAAAUCUGCAAAAUCUGACGGCUGCAGGGGCUAUUAAGCAAAACCAGGGGCACAUUUCUAAUUACUUUUGAACUCAGCCGGGCCGCGGGUUAAUUUUAAAGAAAGGCAGGGGCCUUUUCGCAAAACGGCAGGGGCGCGCGGGGGCCGUGGCCAUCCUGGCCACGUGGCGGCCGGCGGUUGGCCGGUCCAUGGCGCGGGCUGUGGACCGGGGGAGGGGCGGCGGUCCACCGGUCCAUGGUGGACCGGGGGAGGCGCUGGGGCGGUGAGCCGGGUCCAUGGUGGACCGGCCACGCGGGCGCUCAGCCGCGGUCCAUCGUGGACCGCGCGCGGGGCAGGCGAGCAGCGGGCUGCGGCGGCGCGGCGAGCAGAGACGGUGGCGCCAUGGCCGCCGGCGGCGGGGUAGCGGGCACGGCCCUAUGGGGCGAGACGGGGCAAGCCGAGGGCACCACCGGGGUCGGCACGACGCGGCGAGGACGGGGCGCGGCUCACCUUCGCGAACCCGGCAGCGCGAGGAGGAGCGCGACGGCGGCGAGCUUCGGCGGCGGCGCGAACUCGGCGAGAGCGGCGGCGCGAGCUAGGGUUUAGGAUUUUAGGCGGCUCGGGGUGCGAAGGGGGGGCCCGCGAGGGCGAGUGGCGGCGCUAUUUAUAGGGCGCAGCGAACUUCGGUUCGUGUGCGCGCGGAAACCGAGGCGGCGGCGCCGUCCGUUUCCGAAACGGCCGGAGGUGGAAGAAGGCGGUGGGUCCCACUCGCGGGGCCCACGCGUCAGCGGCUGGGGGGGGCGGGAGCUGGGCGCGGCGGCUGCUGCGCGGCUGGGCCGCGGGUGGGCCGCGCGGGGAGAGGGGCGCGGGGAGCGGCUGGGCCGCGCGCGGUCGCGGGCCGAGGGGGAGGCGCUGCCCCUUUUCUUUUCUUCUUUUUUUUUUUAUUUUCAGAAACAAUUUGCUUCUCCUAUUUAAUUCUUUCUCCAACAAAAUAAAUACAAGCACCAGCAAACAAAUCAAACAAAAAUAGAUGCAGCGGCAUGAAUGCAUACGAACAAGUUUUUCUACCUUAUUUCUAAUUUUAUUUAAUUUUGUAAAUUAUUUAAUAUUUCCCAAAAAUUCAAAUUGAGCCAAAAUUAAAUCAAAUUUAAACUAAAUUUGAAAUUCAAAAAUUUGGAGUGUUAUAAACCUACCCCCCUUAAAAGAAUCUCGUCCUCGAGAUUAGGACGAACCAGGGAAUAACUGAGGGUAUUUGGAUAUUAGAUCAUCUUCUCUUUCCCAGGUUGCUUCUUCCUCGGAAUGGUGUUUCCAUUGUACUUUACACAUCCUGAUAGUUUUACUCCUGGUAAUUCUCUCUGCUGUGUCCAGGACUUUGAUAGGGCUCUCUUCAUAAGUUAGAUCCUCCUGUAGAUCCAGUUCCUCUAGUGGCAACUGUUCUUCAGGCACUCUCAAACAUUUCUUGAAUUGGGAGACAUGGAAAACAUUGUGCACGUUGGAUAAACUAACAGGCAGUUCAAGCUCAUAAGCCACUUCUCCUUUCCUCUCCAAAAUCUUGAAAGGACCAACAUAUCUUGGAGCUAGCUUUCCCUUGACAUUGAACCUCUUUAGACCUCUCAUCGGAGACACUUUCAGGUAUACAUAAUCACCUGCCUGAAAUACAAGUUCCCUUCGUCUCACAUCAGCAUAACUCUUCUGUCUAGACUGAGCUGCCUUCAGAGUCUGUCGGAUGAACUGAACUCUUUCUUCGGCUAUUCUCAAUGAAUCAGGGCCGAACACUUGCCUUUCACCAGUCUGGUUCCAGAACAAUGGAGUCCUACACUUCCUUCCAUACAAAGCUUCAAAAGGAGUCAUCUUAAGACUAGUCUGAUAACUAUUGUUAUAGGAGAACUCAGCGUAGGGCAAACUAGUAUCCCAACUAUUUCCAUACUGUAAAGCACAAGACCUGAGCAUAUCCUCUACUAUCUGGUUGACUCUCUCUGUCUGACCAUCGGACUGAGGGUGAUAAGCAGUACUGAAUCUGAGCUCGGUUCCCAAAGCAUCAUGUAACUUCUCCCAAAACUUUGAUGUAAACUGUGUACCUCUAUCAGACACAAUCCUCUUAGGAACUCCAUGCAGACACACAAUCCGUUCCAUAUACUUUUCUGCUAACUGAUCUCCACGGUAGUUAGUUCUGACCGGUAUGAAAUGAGCUACCUUGGUCAAUCGAUCUACUACAACCCAUAUUGAGUCAUAACCUCGUUGAGUUUUCGGCAAUCCCACUAUGAAGUCCAUGCUGAUCUCAUCCCACUUCCACUCAGGUAUCUUCAACGGUUGCAACAACCCUGCUGGCCUCUGAUGUUCCGCUUUCACUCUCUGACAGGUGUCACACAGUGCCACAUAUUCACCAAUAUCUUUCUUCAUACCAGGCCACCAAUAGUUUUGCUUCAAGUCCUGAUACAUCUUAGUACCUCCUGGAUGAAUAGAGUAAGCAGAUUCAUGGCACUCCUUCAGUAUCACAUCCUUGAUUCUCUGAAUAUCAGGCACACACAAUCGGUCCUUGUGCCAAACAAUUCCUUCUUGAUCAACUUUGAAUCCAGGUGCUCUACCUUCCUCUAUCAGCUUAAGUAUCUUUUUGAUCUCUUCAUCCUCUUCCUGACCUUUUCUGAUCUCUUGCUCAAGAGUUGGUUCUAUGUCCAUGGAAGUACCUUGGGUAUUAGCAACAAACCCCAAAUUGAGAUACUCAAAUUCUGCCAGUAGUUCUAUCGGUAACUCUGUGGCCUCCAACAUAUUCCCUUGACUCUUUCUACUCAGAGCAUCAGCAACUACAUUAGCUUUGCCAGGGUGGUAAUGAAUCUCCAGUUCAUAGUCCUUGAUCAACUCUAACCAUCUUCUCUGUCUUAGGUUCAAGUCAUUCUGAGUGAAGAUGUAUUUCAGACUCUUGUGGUCCGUGUAGAUAUCACACUUAUGACCCAGGAUAUAGUGUCUCCAGAUCUUCAGUGAAUGGACCACAGCUGCUAACUCAAGGUCAUGAGUUGGAUAAUUCACCUCAUGUUUCUUCAACUGUCUAGAUGCAUAGGCAAUCACCUUUCCCUCUUGCAUCAGUACACAUCCCAAACCUUGCUUGGAAGCAUCACAAUAGAUAGAAAAACUUUUAGUCACAUCUGGUAAAGUCAAAAUUGGUGCAGUAGUCAAUCUCUUCUUCAAUUCCUCAAAACUAGCCUGACACUGUUCAUUCCACUUGAAUGGCUUACCCUUCUCUAACAAAGCAGUCAUGGGCUUGGCAAUACUGGAAAAUCCUUCAAUGAAUCUCCGGUAGUAACCGGCCAUUCCAAGAAAACUUCUGAUCUCUCCAACCGUCUGAGGUGGACUCCACUUAAGAACAUCUGCCACAUUCUUCGGACUGACAGCAACUCCACCAUUUGAAAUGACAUGACCAAGAAAAGACACUUCUUUCAACCAGAAGUCACACUUACUCAACUUGGCAUAGAGCUGGUGUUCCCUCAAUUUCUGCAACACAAGUCUUAGGUGUUCCUCAUGUUCUUCCUCAGUCUUGGAGUAGAUCAAGAUAUCAUCAAUAAAGACUACCACAAACUUAUCCAAAUACUCCAUAAAAACUUUAUUCAUCAGAUACAUAAAGUAAGCUGGAGCAUUCGUCAAUCCAAAAGACAUAACUGUAUAUUCAUAAAGUCCAUAUCUGGUGGUGAAAGCAGUCUUUGGAAUAUCACUAGGUUUAAUCCUCAACUGGUGAUAACCUGACCUCAGAUCUAUCUUGGAAAACACACAAGCUCCUUUCAACUGGUCAAACAAGUCCUCUAUUCUAGGCAAAGGGUAUUUAUUCUUAAUUGUGACCUCAUUCAAAGAUCUAUAGUCUACACACAUCCUCUGUGUCCCAUCCUUCUUCUCUACAAAAAUAACUGGAGCUCCCCAAGGUGAGGAACUAGGACGGAUAUACCCUUUAGACUGUAACUCCUUUAGUUGUUUCUUAAGUUCUUCUAACUCAUUAACAGCCAUUCUAUAAGGUCUCUUAGAUAUGGGUGCAGUACCAGGUAAUAAAUCAAUAACAAAUUCAAUCUCACGUUCAGGUGGCAUACCUGGCAAAUCCUCUGAGAACACAUCAGGGAACUCUUUCACAACUCGAAUGUCUUCUACUGACCCACUGCUCACAUGGUAAACUGUUCCUUCACUGCUAGGUGACAUAGAAACUCUGACCUCAAUUCUGUUCCCACUAGGUGCUGUUAGAGCCACUGUCUUCUCAGCACACUGAAUAGUACCCUUAAACUUGGACAACCAUCUCAUUCCCAAUAUCAUAUCUAAACCUUCUGAACCCAACACAAUGGGAUUGACAGGAAAAUCUACCCCCCUUAUUUUAAUGCUCAUUCCCGGACACAAAGUAUUAGUAUGCAUCUUUCCCCCAGGUGAUUUAACUAUCAUGGUGUUUUGCAUGGUACAGGUGGCUAUACUAUGUUUCUCAACAAACUGUGCACUUAUAAAAGUAUGUGAUGCUCCAGUAUCAAACAAAACAGUAGCCGGGCAAGAGUUGACAAGAAACAUACCAACUACCACAUCUGGAGCCUCCUCCGCAGUUUCCAACUUCACAUGAUUCACCCUUCCAUUGUUGUUGUUAUUCCUCUGCCUCUGGGGGCACGCAUUCGCGUAGUGUCCAAGCUGACCAUACUUGAAGCAGGUAUUUCCAGUGGGGGCGGGGUUGACAUUGGGCUUCAUUGGGACAGUAUUGGAGUUCUGGCGAGAGCCUGAUGGUGCUGGGGCAUUCUGGCGAGGCGCCUGACUAGCGGGGCGCUGCACUUGGUUGUUGUUGUAGCGCUGGCUCGUCUGCUGACUCUGGUUGCUGUACCUGAUGUUCUGUUGCUGUCCUUGGUUGCCUGACUGAUAUGCAGGGCGAGACUGAGGGCCCUGCUGGUUGUUGUAACGGGGACGACUGGCACCAGCCUGCUGCUGAGAGGAAUUAUACUUCCUCUUCUUGUCUUCCAUCUUGCGGCGCUUGCUCUCAAGCACCAAUGCCCUGUCCACCAUCUCCUGGAAACUGGCAUACUUGACAUUCGACAUCAUGUAGGACAGACCAUCAUUCAAACCUUCCAGGAAGUGGUCUUGCUUGUCUUCAUCAUUCUCCACUUCAUUGGGGCAAUACCGCGACAACUGAGUGAACUUGUCACGGUACUCACAAACUGUCAUGGAGCCCUGCUUCAGAGACAAAAACUCCUUCUUCUUCAGCUUCACCAAUCCAGCAGGCACAUGAUGAGUCUUGAAGGCGACCUUGAACUCAUCCCAAGUGAUAGUAUCCGAGUCCUGAUGUGCAAAGCAGUAUGAAUCCCACCAGUCCUGUGCGGCUCCCUGAAGCUGCCCAGAGCCAUACAGAACCUUCUCCCUG